GAAACCACAUCUCUGGCUAGUUUUCCUGAAUUUAUUAUUAUUUUUUUGUGUCUGCCAGUGAGCACUUAAAUUCCACAAAAGGAUAGUAAGAAGUAUCGUAAACUAAAGCUAUAAUUUAAGUGAUUGUGAGGUAGUGAUUUCAAGAUUUUAUCUCAUUUGUGACAGUCUAAAUAAAAUACUGUAGAGUAUAAUAAAAGAACAAUUUGAACAUCUUGAGUUAGGCAAGCAGUUUUCCUGCAUAUCCCUCACGUUCUGUAUUUUAUUCAUUUCUCAGAAGUUAAACAUGUUCCCUAUGUUCUUUGCUAUCAUGGAGAAUCUGAUAUCUGUGCAUGUCUGUUGUGAUAUUCUAAUAUUAAAAUUACUACUAUGUAUCAAAUCAUUAUAAAUCCUUGCAAAAUAUUCAUGGUAGUCCAUCAUAGUACAUUUUUUUCUUUUUUCUUUUUUCGGUUUAUUAUGUCUGUUUUAUGGAAGGAAAACCUUUUAGCAGUAGCUGUAUAUUUAAUUGAGCAUCAUUGUGCACUUCUUCUUAAUGACUCUACAUAAAUAAUUUAGACCAUUCGCCUUCCAGUUUUUUUAUUGUACAUAGGGAAAUGGGAUGGUGGUUGAGAAGAAAAUUGCUUCUUCAAUUCUUACAUAUAGAUGGAUUUAUAUUUUCCCUCCCUUUGACCUAUGCUUGUUAUUUUUGGUUGAUUUAUCUGACACAGAUGCCAUAUUUCCUACACGGAUUGGGACCUCCUUGGUCCUUGGUCCUUGGUCCUGCUCCUUGUCCUUGGUGCUAUUCACACACACAAAUAUCUAGCUUUUUAGAUUGAAGUGAUAGUAUAUGUUCCUGACUAUGCUUUUAGAAACUCUUUGUUUGUUUGUUUUCCAUUCUUAACAAGUAUGUCCAUCCAAAUUCUCAUUUUUCCUUCAAAUAGUUAUUCCGCAAAAUUUUUGCAGCUAAUUUGUUAUAGAUCACAUAUUAUAUGUGGAGGGCUGAAGUUCUGUCAUAAACAGUUAAACAUUAAUGUAAGGGAGAAUUUUCAUGUGCUUCCUGACAUUAAAGCUUCUGAUAUUGAAGGCUUGGGUCGCUGCACUCCUGUGGGUUCUCAUAGACAUCCGCCAAUUGAUGACGAUGACAAUGCUACUAUCUAUAGAUCCAUAACAGAGAAGAAGACCCCAAGACAUGAGCUAAAAUUAGAUAAACUAUCUGAGCAUGAAAAGGUAAUUUAGCAGUGUCUGCAAGUUUUUAGCUUGUGCCUGAUCAUAUAUUUUCCUUUGCAUGUAUGCGUAGUACGUAGGACAGUAGUAGGAGAUGCUUUCUAUGCCUUUUCUUUUAUAGUUCAUAAGAUUACAAUUACCUCUGCAUAUUGCAUGUCAAAAUGUCAUAUGCUUUUUUCUUCUACAGAAUGACUUGUUCCUUUUAUUGUGGCAUCACAUACCAGUUUAGGGCCUGUCAUGGAUACAAAAAUGAGGACAUCAAUUUUUUUAUGGUAUCAUUACUUUACAAAUCAAAAGCUAUACAACUUGUGCUACCUUAUUGUCUUGUUUUAAAAAGUAUAUAUUAUGAAAAUUUUAGUUUCUUUGUGGCUCGUAGUUCUAGGUUUUUUUAGCAAUUUGAUGAGCAGUCGAUCUAUGAGGGGCUUGAUUCAGGAAGUUUAUCCUGUUCAAUUGUCCACAGCUUCUAUCUUUGUGGUUGGUUUUGUGUUUUCUUCCUACUGAUCAUGAUUCUUUCUUGUAAUGGUCUUCAGAAAAAACUUAUUUCUGGGUUGGUAAAGAUCCAAAAUGAUGGAACAGUGGAUGUUGAUCUAGCCAAAACUGCUCCCAACUCAGUUGAAGGGGGGACAUCUUUCUAUCUUAAUGAUACCUCUCUUGAAUCUUCCAAUAAAUUAAUUCCAAGGUUGAAAAUUGCAAUUCUUGUGGCUGGAACUAGAGGAGAUGUACAGCCAUUUCUAGCUAUAGCCAAGAGACUUCAGGCAUGUUCGUAAUACUUUGUUCAUUACACUGAUCCAUUGUUUUUGCUGUUGUUCCUGUCCUCAUGUUAUAAUCCCCAACAUGUCCUACAUUAAUUGCUCUAGUAUUGUACCUUUUCUUGUUUAAAAAUUUUCAGGUGUUUGUGUAAUAUUCUUUAUAAUUUUAUUUUUGUUAUGGAUAAUGGGUAGACCAAAUUCAUUAGAGUCCAAAUAUUGAGUAAGUCUUUUCAAAAUCAGUCAAUCAUAAUUAUUGUUUAGAUUAGAAUAGACAUGUUGAUUAUUAUUAUCUUUAUUAUUUUUUAGAUUAGGAUAAACUUUCUAAUAUUAUCAAUCUUUAUUAUUAUUUAGAUCAGGAUAAGCUAUCUAGUUAUUAUCGAGUAAGGUAGAUGUUACGGUUAGCUGCUUGUUUGGGAAAUUGUUUCCCACAUCGACUGAGUAGGAAAAUUAGGAAGGAUAUACAAUUAGCUAGCAAAAAUUAUUAAAUAACUUAGAUUAAUCAUUUUAAGUCAGUAGAACUUUUAAUUUGUUAGGAAAUCUUAUGCUGUAUGACUUUCACUGUAUAUGUAUGACUUUCACUGUAUAUAUGGGUUAAUUCAUUGAGUAAUAAAAACAAGCAUAUUAAGUAAAAAUACAAUUUAAGAUUCUCUCUUAUUAAUGAGUACGAUAUGCUAUUGUAUGACUUUCAUUAUAUAUAUGGGUUAAUUCAUGAGUAAUAAAAAUAAGCAAAUUAAGUAAAAAUAUAAUUUAAGACUCUCUCAUUAACGAGUCUGAUAUGCUAUUUUAUGACUUUCAUUAUAUAUAUGGGUUAAUUCAUGAAUAAUAAAAACAAGCAUCAUGAAUAAUAAAAACAAGCGGACUAAGUAAAAACACAAUUUAAGCUUCUCUCACAUUAAUGAGUCCUCUAAUGAGUCCCUAUCAAUUCAUCCCGUGGCGUGAUCCAUGACCGUAUUGUAACAAUUUUUAUUUAAUAUGUGGAUUUUUUUAAUUAUAUUUUAUGCAUUAUUACUUUAUUCUGGGAAAGAAGUAUCUGAGGUUCACAAUUCAGACCAUAUGUCCCUAGUCCCUAGUUCGAAACCAUAUGGUAAAAUAAUCCAUUGCCAUAAUUUGAAGUAUGUUUAAUAAUCCAGUGUUUUGUUGCAGGAAUUUGGUCAUCAUGUUAGGUUGGCAACUCAUGCUAACUUCAAAAGCUUUGUUAGGUCAGCUGGUGUAGAAUUUUAUCCCUUAGGUGGUGAUCCUCGGAUUUUGGCAGGAUGUAAGAGGUCCCUAGUUUAUGAAUCCGAUUUAUAUUACAAUGGAAUUUCUUUUUGGUGGCUACUCUAUUUCUUCUAUAUGCUAAGUUAUAUUAUAUAGCUAGCAUGUUUAUUUCAAUUUGUUAUCACAGAUAUGAUAAAAAAUAAAGGUUUCAUCCCAUCUACACCAGGAGAUAUUGCCUUACCAUUGAAGCAGAUAAAAGCUGUUAUUGAGUCUUUUCUUCCUGCGUGCACAGAGCCAGAUAUGGAAACUGGUGUGCCUUUUAGAGCCCAAGCAAUUAUUGCAAACCCACCUGCUUAUGGUGAGUUGGUAAAAACUGAAGAUUCUCAUCAUCUUCUUAUAAAUCAUGUCUGCUUUGUUUUGUUUUCCCCUUCAAAAAAUGCUUGAUGGUUGUUGGUUCAGCUUGUGAAUAAGUCCUGUUGUUGUUUAGUAUACUUUGAGAUUGAUUCUGAAUGGCCUAUUAUGCAUAUAACUUUAAUUGUAGAAAAUGAGGUUGAGUUAUGAAAAUGUCUAGUCUAAUUGUGCUUUGUGUCACAGGACAUGUACAUGUUGCUGAAGCUCUUGGUGUACCAAUUCACAUUUUCUCCACAAUGCCUUCGACGUGAGUAUUAAUUAAAAAUAACCAUGCAUUUGAAAGUGGAAAAUAAAUUAUUAAAUUGAACUUGUGAUUUUUAGUUAAAUAUUUAUUAUUCACUCUGAGACUGAUGCUAUUGCAUUCUUAAACAAAUAGAAGGAUUAGAAGAGAGCCAUCUUAAAUUCUAACUAAAUUAUGUAGCAUAUGCUUUUCACUAUUUUAGCUGAUACACGUCUGCUUAAUUCCUUGACCCUUGGCAAAUAUUCUACCAUUGUUAAAAAUGUGGUAUUCUUAGUUGAGGAGUUUAUAUAUAUAUAUAUAUAUAUAUAUAUAUAUAUUGGUUGGGGNNNNNGGGGUGGGUUGGAAAUUGGGAUGCGGUGGUGAUAUCUAGCAUGCACCAAUGCUAAUACAUUGUUGGUGCUAAAUGAAACGUGGGAUGCUAUUUUCACUACCCUGAAGCGAGGGAAAAUUACAGGAGAGAUCAAUAAAUUACCAGUAUUUAAUUUAUAAAAGCUUACUUAAAUUUAUGUUUGCUAACUUCCAUUUUUAUAGGCAGGCCAACAUAUGAACUUCCUAACCCCUAUGCACGUGUUCCUCAAGCUGGUUAUUGGGUAUGUUUUCACUUAGCACAUUGUACUUCUCCAUAGUCUAUGCUUUCCUUGCAUAACGGGAAGCCAUAGUGCUAUUUUCCUUAUACUUGUUUCCAUCUGUUCUUGUUGGAUUCAGCUUUCAUAUAUAGUUGUGGAUUUGCUCAUAUGGUGGGCAACAAAAGGAUAUAUAAAUGACCUAAGGAAAAGAAAGUUGAAGCUUCCGCCAAUUUCAUACUUCAGUAUAUACAAUGGAUCAAUAUAUCAUUUACCUACAGUUUAUAUGUGGAGUCCUCACCUUGUGCCAAAGCCAAGAGGUAAAGACGCUUAGUCCCUUCUUUUCUUCUGUUAACAGUGGUAGAAUCUCUAUUGUUUCCUUCUAUUUAGGCAUUUUUUGUAGUUACAUAGUUGUUAAUCAUCUCAUUGUGCACCGAUGCAUGUUAGCCACUUGCAGCUCAAUCAUUGAUUGCUGGGAAAUUUAUCUAGAUAUGUUUCAGUAUCUAAUGCAUUUUUACGUUAUUUUUCUCCUUACACCUUUAAUUAUUACCACAUUUUUAUGGAGUGUUGGGAUAUAAUUUUUUUUUGUUUCACAUUACAAGAGGAGAGUAGAAGAUUUGGACUUAGGAUCUCUAUAAAACACCAACUUCCACAAAUCACCUGAGACUGAGCUAAUCCAAGUUGAUAGUGCACUAGGUAAGCAUCACUUUUUCAAAAUUGAGUUUUGUUUUUGUCUGAUAAAAAUUCAAGUGUGUAGUGGAAGUCCUUUAAACAUUCAUUUGGAUAAUAUGAAAAGUAGACUUGCAGACCUUUUAUUUCAAAAGACCUCUGAUGUUUCUAUUCUAUAUUAACCUUUAAUACUAGAAGGAAGAGCACUUGUUGGCCUUGGUUAAAGGCAAUUAUUAGAGGGUAAUACAUAUAUAGCUGAAGGUUCAAGUAAAAAUAAUAGUCUCUAGUUUUUGUAGCUUAAAAGGAUAGCAUAUAUGUAGAAUAGAGAUGAUCUCCGUAGCUGAACAAAACCAUUGUAUGUGAUGACAAUAGCUCAAGUUUGUUUUUCUUUCAACUCAUUUGAUAUUUAGCUGACCUAUUCAUUUGAUGGGCUAGGUUUAGCUUGAAGUUUGGUAUAUGCCCAAGCUUGACUUGAAAAUCUAUACCGAUCAUUAUGACUAGCCAAUAACAAAAACAACGUUUAAGCCCUUAUCCCAAACUAGUUGAGAUUGGCUAUAUAAAUCCUUUUUCGCCAUUCAACUCCAUUUGGCACCAAGUUGGCAUCAAUAACUAAAAAUUAUAAAUAUUUUGAUACCACUUCCCUCCACGUCAUCUUAGGCUCCCUUUCUCCUUUUUCUAUUAUCUUAUCACAAUUCUAUGUGGUAUUUGAUUCUCCAUGUUAAACAUGACAAAAACAUAUUAUUUGGCCCUUUCUUGUUUUAUCUCCAAUUCAUGUGCUACAUGCAUUUUUUAACAGAUGUGCCAUUCCUAAUCUGUCUAUUAUUGUGUUACAAGAUAUCCAUUUUAAUGUCCACACUUCUAUCACACUCAUCUUAUAUAUGUGUUGUACCUUAGAUCCAACAUUCACUUCCAUACAAUGUAGCUGGUCUAACCAUAAUCCUAUAGAACUUAGGUUACUUUGUUAGAGAUUUAUGAUUGCAUAAUACACCCAGACCCAGCACACUCCUUCAUUUUAUCUAUCAUGUAUUGAUCCUAUAGGUUACAUUCUUAUUUAAACCUCCAUUCUUCUGUAUAAUAUAACUUAAAUACUUGAACUGAUUGCAUUUGGGCAGCAAGAAUUUGUCCAAAUGAACCUCACUUCCAUCUCGCAUUGCAUAUCUGUCAUUUUAUUUGCACUCAAAAUCUUGUUCUCAAAAGUCUUUCUUCAUAAUUCUAAACUUUUGAUUAACUCCUUCACUAGUUUCAUCCACUAAGCCAAUAAAGUAUAAUAUACCAUGGGAUAUCAUCUUGAAUAUGACUGGUCAACUCGUCUAUGACUUAGAUAAACAAUUACACACUCAAAGCCUUUUUCCUUGAUGUAAACCCGCUAUUUCGGGAAACUCGUUCGAGUCCUCUUCCAUUGUCCUUGCAUUUGUACCGUCUCCCACAUAUAUGUCCUUAAUAACAUUUAUAUGUUUGAAGUUUACACAUUUCUUUUGCGUCAUCUACUAAAGGAUUUUUGUACUCUAUCAUAUGUCUUUUCUAGAUAAUGGAUGUUAUAUAUCCUCUUUUCUUUCUUAUAUAUCUUACUAAAAAGAUGGCUUUAUUGUACAUCUGGCAGGCAUAGAGCCAAAUUGGUUCUCUGAUACGUCAGUAGUAUCCCUCGGUCGUUCAAUCAUUCUUUUCCAAAGUUUAUCUUAUGACUCAGUAGUUCGAAACUAUGAUAGUUUGUACAAGUUUGGAUGCCUUGUUUGCUCUUAAAGAUAGGAAUUGAAAUGCUCUUCCUCCACUCUUAUGGCAUCUCUUGUGAUUUUAAUCUGCAUUGUAUUGCUUGGUCAGCUAAGCUACUUCAAACUUGCCAAGGCACUUCCAUUCUUCUACGGGGAUACCAUCUAGUUUGCAAGCUCUCUCUAUCUUCAUAUUCUUCAAGCUCUCUUUAACUUAGGCAAAUAUGAUUCUGCAAGAGUAAGUAAAAUUCUUUCCUAUCAAAUGAACAUUAAGAUCUAUAAAGUUUCUCACGCCUUGUAUAGAAUGACUUAUCCAUCUCUCUUUAAUCUCUUAUUUCUUGACAAAACUUGCUAUUUAUCAUCUUUAAUGCACUGGACUUGAUGAAGAUCUUUAUUCCUCUCGCUUAAGUUGUUCUAGCCUGUGCCUCCCAUUUUCUUCUCCAAUGUCCACAUUUUUUGGUACACAUUGGCUAGACAUAUAUCGCUAGCCCCUUUUGGGGGAUUAAUGUUGUUUACCCUUUGUGGGUGUGUUGUAUGGUUUUCUUUAUCUUAAUUUCUGGGUUGUUGGGCAUUUACGGAUCUAUUGUUUUGGGCAUCUGAUUGAAGGAGUUGGACAUUUGUUUAUCUUUUUCUAGCAGAUUGAGGGAGAAUUGCUGCGUGCCAAUGAGAAUUUCUGGGUGCUGCAUUUUCUGAGAAUUUUGGGCACUUGUUUUAAGGAGAAUUGUUUUGAGCACAUGAUCGUUUUUUGAACUGCCAUGUCAAACAGAAUCAAGCCAAAUCAAAUCAAACCGGUUUGAUUUGGUUCAAUUCAGUCCUUUUUUUGUUCAGUUAUUUUCUUUUGAAAUUGGCUUUCUGGUUUUUUAAAUUUGGUUUGGUUCGAAACCGAACCAAUCUAAUCAUCUUCCCUACCUCAGUCUAUAAUGAUGUCUAUGUUUCAGUAGCAAUACAACUUAGUUUUUAAUAUUGACUACUAAAAGGUUGUCACAAAGUUUCCGUUUUUCUAAUUACUAUUGUUCUAGACUCAGUAAAUCUCUGCAUUCUGCAAAGCUAUAUCAGGACAGUUCAAUCAGCUGCAUUGGGUGCUUCACAUUUGCUUUUGGGAAAGAAUCUGAGAGAUCUAACAAUUCAUCUGCUCCAAAUCAGUGUUGAUAAUUAUUUUCACACACUCCGCUGUUUGUCAUUCAUUUUUGCAGUUGUUUCUUUUAGAUGCUCUCGAGUGUUUCUUCUUAAAGUUUUUGUAGUAUUUAAUUGGUUUCUCAAAUUCUAAUUUUUAUACUUUGCACCAAUUAAUAAUAAACUUCAUAAACUAUUUGCAGAUUGGGGUCCUUUGGUUGAUGUUGUUGGUUAUUGUUUCUUAAACCUUGGGUCAAAGUACAAGCCUAGAGAAGAAUUUAACGAAUGGAUUCAGAAAGGAACAAAACCCAUUUAUAUUGGGUUUGGGAGCAUGGUAUGUUGAUUUUACAAGAGCAGUUGUAGUUAUCACAUUUUAUGUUAUUUGUUCUUUCAGUUUCUUAUGUCUCAUGAUGUACUUCAAUGAUCUCUCAUUUUCUGCUUUCUACAGAUUUUUUUAUUAUCUUGUAUUUUUCCUUUCAAUGCAUAGUUUCUGUUGCAUUGACUGUUUGUCCUCCAGGCAUAUUUGGAUAUUGAAAUCUGGAGGGUGGAGCUCGACAUAUUUGGAAAAUUGAUCGGUUAAUAAUUAAUUUACCUAGUUUCUCAGUUUAGAGUAAAAACAAACAAAUAAGUAAAUAAAACAGUUGCUCAUAUGUUUGCACAUUUUAUAUGGAGACACAAUUCAUUAAUGCAUUGAAUACCUAUGAGAAUGCCAUUAGGCUAGGAUACUAUAUGUUUGAAGUGAUUCAGGAAUAAAAUGGUAAUUCCUUUGUUGCUAACUGCGUAAUGUAGCUAAAUUUCUUAUGGAAGUUCUCAUUUGAUCACUGUUUAUAAAAUAAGAAAGAUAUGGAGCAAAGCAGCCAUCUUUACUACUAUGGUAUACUAUUUCUUAGUUUCAUUUUAUCGUUUUCCUCUUUGCAUGGACUGUAUGCCAGUACUAUGUAACUAACUUGUUAGAUGGUUAUUCUUCUUGCCGUUUGUGCUUGUAAUACAAUCCUUGGUGUUACUGCCUUACUGGUGGUAUGCUUGCAUCAAUCAAGCCAAUUGUAACAAAUCAGAAUUGUAGGAAAAUUAUGCGUAUUCUCUAUUGAAUAAGAGUGUUUAUUUACACAUUACAAGGUUUUGUUAUGGUAACUAAUCAAUCUCCUAUAAAUCCUCCCUCAAUCAAUUAGCCCUAUGAUUUUGCUAUAUAUUAAUUAUUUACAGAUUAUGUUUAUGCUCUAACACCAAUUAACACAGUACUUUUGCUUAUGUCAUAUUGAGUUCUUUUCCCGCUCCAAUACUUUGCAUGUGUAUCAAUCCUUUUGUCAACUCUGCAUUCUACUAUGAUUUUUGUAUUUGGCAGAUAAUUUUUUUAUGUUUCAUCAGGAAUAUUUGGGGAGGAUCUAAUUGAACAAUUACUUGUUAUUUGUUAAGCUUCUUGAAUAUCCUAAGGAGACCACAGACAUAAUAAUGGAAGCAUUGAAAGCUACUGGGCAAAGAGGAAUAAUUGUCCGAGGGUGGGGAGAUCUAGGACAUUGUAAGUAUAUAUAUUCCAUCUUAAUUUUUCACUUUCUUGGUCUGUGGGUUUUUUAGCAAAUUCUGAUCACAAGGACAAAUAAACAAAUCCUUCAUGUUAGCUGCUGGUUUAAUUUCAAUCAUAUCAGUUCAUAUAUAAAUGCCUUGCCACCGUUUACCUAGAGAUAUUAUUUUUUCCAAAUUAUUUUUAUUUGAUCAUGAUAUCAUGUGAGUGAUUGCUUUUUUGAAAUGAAUUUAAAAAUAAAAACUAAAAUGAUUGCUUUAAUGAAGGCAAUGAGAGGCUACUUAUCAUACAUUGUAAACAAAUAUUGCUUCAGAAAUGUCAAGGACAUGUCUUCUUUUAAUUUUGAUACUGUCAAAAAUAUAAAAACUUAUGUGAUAUUGUUGACUUAUUUGAUAUGAUUUGAUUUGAUUAUGGAUUUUAAGAAUAAAUUAGAAUACUUAAUUAUCUCUGUAAUUAUUCUUUGAUUAUUUGCUUUCUGUUCAGUUGUAAUUCUUUGUGUAUAAAUAGUCAUGUAAAUCACUUGUAAAGAUUAAGAGUGAAAUAUAAGAAUACUCUAAAAUUCUCUAAAAUUCUUCAUGGUAUCAGAACUUUUUCCUGAUUUCAGAAUUUAAAUUCAAUUUUUCCUUUUUAGGGUUUCAAAAUCUUAGAUCUACCUUUUUAGUACUACCCUAUUAGGGACCUUUUCACAACUCACUCCUGCAGCACUAGGAGGAUCGCUGGCCAGACCACCCAGCUCUGACGCCGAAAAGUCACGCACGUGAGGCUCACGCUCCCUCCCAUCCCGGCACAUGAGACACCGUUCGAUGCUGCUUCGCCGCUCCGAUCACUCCGGUGCCAAUUUCGACCCUCUUUCUAGCCUUCCCGUACUGCUUCCUACUCUUUUGGUGAUUCGGUUGGGCUCUCUUAUGUGUACAACCUUGGGUACCUGUAUUUUCUCAUUUUUCUGUCUUUUGUGCUGAAAUCAAGACUCAAUUUAAUUUUUCUGUGCAAAUUUUGUGGAGCGACAAUGCUAAAGAAUAUAUGUCAGAAUCAUUCCAGGCUUAUAUGACUCAAUAUGGUAUUAUUCACCAAUCGUCAUACGUAGGGGUGAGCAUUUGGUCGGUUCGGUUCAAAACCGAACCGAAUAAACCGAAAACCAAAAUUUUAGUAUUUAUGAAAACCGAAUCGAAUCGAUUUUGGUCAGAAACCGAAUCGAACCGAACCGGUCUGAUUCGAUUCGGUUCGGUUUGAUCGGUUUUGAUUUUAAUAAUUUUUUAUUUUUUACACUUUAUUUUUAGUUUUUUAAAAUUUAAUUAAAAUAUUUUAAUUUUAAUAUAAUUUAAUUUCUCUAUAUUAUUAAAAAUAACAUAUUAUUAUCACUAAUCGGUUCGGUUCGGUUUUUUUGAUUUUUUCUGAUCAAAACCGAAUCGAACCGAAAUAACCAAAAUUUUUGAAAUUAAAAACCGAACCGAAUUGAAUAAAAAAUCGAACCGAAUUUUCAAAUUAAUUCGAUUUCGGUCGAUUUUUUCGGUUUGAACCGAAUACUGCUCACCUUUAGUCAUAUAUUGAUACACCCACUCAAAAUGGGGUAAUUGAAAGGAAGAAUCGUCUCUCCUUGAGACUGCUCAAGCUCUAUUGUUUCAAAUGCGAGUUCUUAAGCAAUUUUAGGCCGAUGUUGUCUCUACUGCAUGCUUUUUCAUUAAUCGCAUGCCCUCCACAGUACUAAACGGUAAUACUCCUUAUAAUGUCCUCUUUCCUAAGAAGCUAUUAUUUCCUCUCGAACCACGACUGUUUGGCAGCACUUGCUAUGUUCGGGAUGUCAGACCUAUUGUGAAUAAACUUGAUCCUAAAGCUUUAAAAUGUGUUUUUUUGGGAUAUUCUCGCUUUCAGAAGGGAUAUCGGUGUUACUCUCCAGACCUCAACAAAUAUCUGGUCUCAACAGAUAUAGCCUUUUCUGAGCAAAUUCAUUUUUAUCCUGUUGCACAAAUCUCUCUUGAUCAAGAGGAGGACGAUGAGUGGCUCAUCUAUAGAAUCAUAUCUGAUGGUGAGACCUCUUCGAGUAUGUCUUUUGCUGUACAAUCUGAUGAUAACAUUCCUCCUAGUACUCAGCCUCCAAUUAAAUCGUCAGUUGUUCAAGUUUAUUCUCAGAGACCAGCACCUGAUGAUACAUGUCCUGUACUAGAAUUUUCUUUGCCAUUGGAUCCACCACCGAGUGAUCUUGACCUCCCCAUUAGUCUUCGUAAAGGUAAAUGACAGUGUAAAUCUACCUAUUCUAUUGCUAACUUUUUGUCUUAUAAUCACCUGUCUCCUUCUUCUACCUCCUUAAUUGUCUCUCUAGAUUCCAUUUCUUUGCCUAAGACAGUUAAAGAGGCCCUGGCUCAUUCUGAAUGACGUGAUGCAAUGUUUGAAGAGAUCAAGACCCUAGAUGAAAGUCAUACUUGGGAACUAGUUGAUUUACCCUCUAACAAGAAGGUUGUGAGUUGUAAAGGGGUUUUUGCCAUCAAAGUCAAUGCAGAUGGUUCCAUAGCGAGGCUUAAAGCUCGUCUUGUCACCAAAGAUUAUGCCCAAACCUAUAGCGUUGACUAUUAUGACACUUUUCUCCUGUGGCAAAAAUGACCUCAGUUCGCUUGUUCAUCUUCCUAGCUGCUUCUCAGCAUUGGCAUUUAUACCAGUUAUAUAUCAAGAAUGCAUUUUUGCAUGGUGACCUCCAAGAAGAGGUGUAUAUGGAGCAACCACUAGGUUUGUUGCUUAGGGAGAGUAUGGAAAAAUUUGCCAUUUGAAGAAAUCUUUGUAUGGUUUAAACAGAGUCCCUGUGCAUGGUUUGACAAGUUCACUGAAGUUGUUCAAAAAUUUGGGUUGAAAAAAAAUAAGUGUGACCAUUCAGUUUUCUAUAGAAAUUCAGAUAUUGGUAUUAUUCUCCUUGUUGUAUAUGUUGAUGAUAUUGUCAUUACAGGGAAUAAUAGUACAGGGAUCUCUUCUCUCAAAAACUACUUGCAUGUAAGUUUUCAUACCGAAGACUUGGGUCAGCUUAAGUAUUUCUUAGGAGUCGAAGUCUUGAGGAGUAAAAAGGGAAUCUUCCUGUCUUAAAGGAAGUAUGUCCUUGACUUGCUUACAGAAACUAGGAAGAUGGGAGCUAAACUAUGUAGCACACCAAUGAUUCCUAAUAUAUGUCUUACAAGGAUGACAAAGACCCUUACGAUGAUCCAGAGAGGUACAGGAGGUUGGUUAGAAAGCUGAACUACCUUAUGGUGAUGACUCGGCUAGAUAUUGCUUUUGCAGUAAGCCUUAUAAGCCAGUUUAUGUCUGCACCUACGGUGAAACAUUGGACUGCUCUAGAACAAAUUCUAUGUUAUCUAAAAGGGACUCCUGGACUCGGUAUACUCUACAUGAUCAUGGGCAUACUGCACUUGAGUGUUUUUCUGAUACUAACUGGGCGGGAUCCAAAAGUAAUAGAAGGUCGACUACAGGCUACUAUGUAUUUGUUGGAGGAAACCUAGUGUCUUGGAAAAGUAAGUGUUGAAUUCCACAUCGGUUGUGGAAAGGGGUAAUGUGCCCCCUUAUAUGGGCCAUAGGCACUCUUCCCCUUGAGCUAGCUUUUGGGGUAAGUUAGACCUGGUCCAAAUUUAACAUGGUAUUAGAGCCUCCCAUCCGAUGUUGGGCCUCCUAUAAAUAUAUCACGCACCAGUAAAAAUUCUAGGUGUGAGGAGGGUGUGUUGAAUCCUACAUCGGUUGUGGAAAGGGGUAAUGUGCCCUUUAUAUGGACCAUAGGUACUCCUCUCCCUUGAGCUAGCUUUUAGAGUGAGUUAGACCUGACUCAAAUUUAAUAGUAAGAAGCAAAAUGUGGUAUCCAGAUCCAGUGCCGAGUCAGAAUACAAGCCCAUGAUUCAAUCCACUUGUGAGAUUCUGUGGAUAAAUUAUUUGCUGAAGGAAGUUGGUAUGGAUGUUGCGUCACCCAUGAAACUUUGGUGUGAUAAUCAGGCUGCUCUUCACAUUGCUUCCAAUCCAGUAUACCAUAAACGGACUAAGCAUAUUGAAGUUGAUUGUCAUUUCAUCUGUGAGAAGAUUCAAGAAAAUUUAAUCUCCACCAAUUAUGUGAAGACAAGAGAGCAACUGGGUGAUCUACUCACCAAAACUUUAAAUGGGCCUCGAAUAGAAUAUUUUUCUAACAAGUUGGGCAUGAUAAACAUCUAUGAUCCAACUUGAGGGAGAGUGUUACAGUGUGAACAUAAUUUGUACAUAAUCAUAAGAGAUUACAUAAUUAUAGGCUAAUUGAUUGAUAGAGGAUUCUUAGGAGUUGCCUUAAUAAGACCUUGUAAACUGUAUAUAUACACACUUCAAUGGAGCAAUAUAUGGAAAUUAUCCAAUUAUUCCUUAUCUUAUUACACAAAUGAUUCUUUUACUCUCAUAUUCGGAACAAGUUCUGUUAUUUGUGUAUCCAAUAUUAAAUUAUUAUUUGUCCUUCAUGUUUCUCAUUUUUUUGUCAACCUUUUAUCUGCCAAUACCAUCACCAAUGCUCUUAACUAUAAAAUUGAGUUCUUUCCUGAUCAUUGUGUUAUUUAGGAUCUUCUCACAGAGAAGAGGAUUAGCAUGGUAGACUGCAUGAUAGCUUAUACAUGUUGGAAGGCGAUCCAGAUUCUCUGAUAUCUCAGGCCUGUUUUAGAGAAAAUAAGAAUGUCAAUCAAGAAAUACUACAGUAUCACAGACGGUUAGGGCAUCCAUCAUUUUUUGUCUUAGAAAAACUUUAUCCUAGUUUGUUUGCUAGAACUCAGUUUGGUUCUUUAUUUUGUGAUCUUGUGAGUAUGCUAAGCACACUAGAACCUCCUAUCCUUUGAGUCAUAAUAAAAGGCAAAUUCCUUUUGUAACUAUUCAUUCUGAUGUUUGGGGGCCUACUCAAAUUGUCUCCUUAUGUGAUAAUCGAUGGUUUAUCACCUUUAUUGAUUGUUACACUCGAAUGACUUGGGUCUAUUUGAUUAAAGCUAAAAGUUAUUACUCGAAUGACUUGGGUCUAUUUGAUUAAAGCUAAAAGUUAUUUCUUUUCUUAUUUUCAAUCCUUUUACAAGAUGAUUUGUAUUCAACUUAAUUUUAAGAACUGACAAUGGAAAAAAAUAUAUGGAUAGUAGGUUUUCUACUCAUUUGGAGAUCAAUGGGAUAGUAUACCAGACAAGUUUUUCUUAUGCUAGUGUACAAAAUGGCGUUGCUGAAAGGAAAAACAUGCAUCUAUUGGAGGUAGCUCAAUCUCUUUUGUUCACUAUAAACCUAUCCAAAGCAUAUUAGGGAGAUGCAGUCCUUGUAUCUGCUUAUCUUAUCAAUAAAAUGCCCCUCAAGGCUCUUGACUUUAUGAGUCCUUUGGAGAUUCUACAAAAAAAGAAUUCAUACAUUGUUCCAUCAAAAGUAUCAUACAUUGUUCCAUACUAGGACGACGGAAUAAUUGGACCCCAAGGCCCUCAAAUAUGUAUUUAUUGGGUAUUCUUCGACACAGAAGGGAUACAGGUAUUAUUAUCCUCCAUCUAGAAAAUACAUUGUCAAUGUGGAUGUUACUUUCUGAGAAACUAAAUCCUAGUUCAGUACUACCCACUCACCUCUUCAGUGGGAGAAUAAUGAGUAAGAAGAGGUAACUCUAAAUUCUGUGAUUUUGAAUGAUAUGGUUCAACGAGAGAGCUCUAGGUGAUAGGGGGAGAGAAUUGGACGUUUAAAAAAGUCAGAUUUGAGGAGGUAUUCAAGGAGAGACAAGGUAGAAGCCAUUAUGCAGUCUACUCAGAGUCAAAAAACUUUUUCUGGUGAGUUAUCCAUAACUCUUAAAUGCUCUAAUGAUGAAUAAACCCAUUGCACAAAAAAAAGGUGUCAGAUCUUGUACUAAACACCUUAUUUCUAACUUUGUUUCUUAUGAAUCAUUAGUCUAUUUCCUCUGUGUCUAUUCCACAGGAUUGGAAGGAAGCUCUUGCAGAUCCUAAAUGGAAGGGAGCAAUGAUUGAAAGGACGAAAGCACUGGCAAAAAAUGAGAUCUGGGAGCUUGUCACUCUCCCGCCUGGGAAGAACUUGUUGGCUGUAAGUGAGUAUUCACAAUAAAACACAAAACUGAUGCCACAAUUGAACGGUUUAAGGUCAGAUUGGUUACUAAAGAAUUCACCUAAAUUUAUGGAGUGGAUUAUCAAGAAAUAUUUGCUCUAGUUGUAAAAAUGAGCUCAGUUAGAGUCCUAUUAUCUUAUGCAACCAACUUGGACUGGGACCUACAACAGUUUGAUGUGAAGAAUACUUUCCUCCAUGAAGAUUUAGAGGAAGAAGUGUUCAUGGAGAUCUCUCUUAGGUUCGCUGAUGAGAAGACACAAGGAAAGAUGUACAAAUUAAAAAAGGCUUUGUAUGGAAUCUCCCAGAGCUUGGUUUGAUAGGUUUAGCAAAACCAUGAUGUCCUUUGGUUAUCAACAGAGUAAUGCUGAUCACACUCUGUUUGUUAAAUAUCACAAGGUAAGAUCACCCUUCUUAUUGUGUAUAUUGAUGAUACAGUGGUGACAGGUGAUAACAAAGAGGAAAUGACUCAAUUAAAAAGGUUGUUGGUUCAAGAAUUUGAAAUCAAAGAUCUAGGAAAGCUUCAAUAUUUCCUAGGUAUUGAGGUGGCUAGAUCAAAAAAGGAAUCUUUAUCUACCAAAAAAAGUACAUUCUGAACCUUUUAGAAGAAAUUGAUAUGUUGGAGUGUAAAUUGAUAGGGAGGUUGAUUUAUCUCUCACACACUCAACUGAAUAUAAUCUAUGCUGUUAGCUUAGUCAACCAAUUCAUGCAUGACCCUCGCGAGACUCAUAUGCAGGUUGUCCUUCACAUCUUGAGAUACCUUAAGUUUGCGCUAAGGAAAGGGCUUUUUUACUCCAAUCAUAGUCACUUUCGAGUUGAAGCUUUUACAUAUGCAGAUUGGGCAAAAUCUCUCAAUGACAGGAGAUCCACCUCUAAUUACUGCACAGUUGUGGGAGGGAAUCUUGUCAUCUAGAAAAGCAAAAAAUAAAGUAUUGUUGCUCAGUUAAGUGCUGAAGUAGAAUAUAGAGUAAUGGCCCAAGGUGUGUGUGAGCUUUUGUAGUUGUAAAAGUUAUUGAAGGAGUUGAGGUUGCCUGAGAGAGACAAGAUAAUUUUGUAUUGCGACAACAAAGCCGCCAUUAGUAUAGCAUAAAAUUCAGUUCAGUGUGACCAAAAGAAACAUAUUAAGAUUGAUCAACACUUCAUUAAAGAAAAAUUAACAGACAGGGUUUUGAGUUUAGUUCAUCUGACUUAUACUGGACAACUUGUGGAUGUGUUCACUAAAGAGCUCAACAAUAGAAUCUAGCAUAAUCUGAUUUGCAAGUUGGGCAUAUGCGAUAUAUAUGUACCAACUUGAGGGGAGUGUUGAUUUAUUUGAUAUGAUUUGAUUUGAUUAUGCAUUCUAAGCAUAAAUUAGAAUCUUUAAUUAUCUCUGUAAUUAUUUUUUGAUUAUUUACUCUUUGUUUAGUUGUAAUUUUUUGUGUAUAAAUAAUCAUGUAAAUCACUUAUAAAGAUUAAGAGUGAAAUACAGGAAUACUCUAAAAUUCUUGGAUAUAUAUAAACAUGGCAAUCACCUCUAAUGGGGUUGUUUUAAUUCUUGGGAACAUUUGCCUUUAUGAAAUCGAAUGACAGGGAUUCGCAUGUUCGGGAUCUUAUUCUUUGCUUUUCCAAAUCUUAUUUUGAUCUACCAUCAAAAGUGAAAAAAAAUGAAAUUGGCAAAGUGGGAAACUGUUAUCACAAAAGUCCUCAUAACUGAUGUAAUGAAACGUCCUUGAGAACUAUAAUGAAAAGCUAGACUUGUUUAAGAUGAAAAAAUAAAGUGGACAAUUUCAUUUUAAUUUUCUAAUGGUCUUCCGAACUGCCAAAAAAACUUUGCAGUUGUGCAUUAGCAAGUAGGAAUCAUAUCAUUCAAGACAAAAGAUUUUGCAUUAAUUUUCGUGCUAUAUCAUUUAAGAAGGGAGGAUUCACUUUUUUAUAAGACGAGGUUCCUCUAGAUGAGAGAUGAAUGAAUAAAGGAAUUGUAAAUAUGAAAGCAAAUUCUACCUGGCAAAGCUGAAAAGUUACAUUUGGUUUAUUGGAUUGGACAGGAAAGCCCCGUGUUUUUUCUCCUGUUCAGUCCUUCAGUCCCCUUCUCUGUUUUCUUUUCCCUUACUAGACAAUUUAUCCAGUCCAAUGGCUGAGAUUGUUAGCAUUCCUCGUCAACAUACCCCUUUCUUCUUUUAAAUAAAAAUGAAGUUUCUUCAAUAUUUGUGUGCUAUUGUUAAAUUUGAUUCCUGUAUAUCGAUGAUUGAAGACUGUCUGGAAUGUCAGCAUUACGUGGUUGCUAAUAGUAAUUUGCUGCUUGAAUUAUUUCAUAAAAGAUUGUAGAAUUUCUUCAUAUUGUUGGUAUUUUGGUUACCUAGCUUUGUAUUGAAUGCCCUGUGCUCUAUAUGAGUUAUCCUAAAAUUGAAACUGGUGGUGUUUGUUGAGUAAACAAGAGACAGUAACGUUUGUAUUCUCUCUUCCUUUUCUUUUUUUUUUUCAUCUUGCAGUUACUGAACUUCCAGAUACUGUAUUCCUUCUAGAGGAUUGCCCCCAUGAUUGGUUGUUUCCCCAGUGUGCUGCUGUGGUGAGUUAUUAUUAUUAGAGAAAUUUACUAUUUAGUCCCUAUAUUAUAUGGAAACUCAUUAGUUGGUCUAUCAGUUUUGUAAAAUACAUUAGAUUGUCCCUGAGAUUUUAAAAGUUUGCUAAUUAAUCAUUCUGUUAGUUUUAGCCGUUAAAUAUUUUACUAUUUAGGCUCUAUAAUUUAGAAAAACUAAUUAAUUGGUCGCUCAUGUUUGUAAAAAAAUCUACUAAUUAAUCUCUCCAUAUUAAAGGUAUUUUAGAUUUUUUUUAUAAUAUUUAAUGACUAAAAUUAACGGAGGGACUAAUUAGUAGAUUUUUUAAAGUUUCAAGAAUAUUUUAAUAUAUUUUUCAAAAUUGAGAUACUAAAUAAUGAGUUUUUCAAUAAUACAGGAAUUAAAUAGUAAUUUUUUUAUUAUUAUUAAUUUUUGUUGUAUUUUUUCUUAGAAAAACUUACUAUUUUGUCCCUAUGGUAUAGAAAAAUUUAUUAGUUAGUAUUUCGAUUUUAAAAAAUAUAUUAAAAUAUUCUAAAAUUUUUAAACAUAUACUACUUAGUCUUCCAUUAGUUUUAGCCUUUAAAUAUUUUAUUAUUUAUUCCAAUGGAAAAUUUCUUAGUUUGUCACUCAGUUUUGUAAAAUUAAAUUCAUACUAAUAAUCCUUUCAUAUUGAGAUCAUUUUGAACUUUUUAGAAUACUUAAUGGCUAAAAUUAACGGAAAGACUAAUUUGUACAUAUUUUAAUACCUUAAGGAUGUUUUAAUGUAUUUUUUAAAAUUAAGAGACUAAUUAAUGUAUUUUCCAAUACCAUGAGGAUAGCAAUAUUCCCUCUUUCUUAUUAUGCUUUUAAUAACUAAUACAUUUCCUUGCAAUUAAUAUAACUUUGUGCAGUUGCCAGCAUGUGCCUGCAAUUUUUUUUUUUUUACCUUUCUAGUAUAAUUCCUAGAUAGUUUUCAUUUUAUCAUAUAUGAAACUGAUAUUUUCUGCUUCUACUGAUGUAUUAGAACAAUAUAAAAGACUUGCUAAUGCAUGCUUCUAAUAGAAUGAUAUGUGGUUAAUCUAACACUAACCUUUUAUUUGCCAUGAUUCAUUUUGCAAGAAAAGAAUUCAAAUGAAUUCUUGCAAAAUCAUACAAGAUUUCAACUUCUCUUAAAAUGAAAAUUUUUUAAGUUAAAAAGAAUUGAAUUCUUUUAUUCCAAAGAAGAGAAUUGUUAGAAAAGAAAUCAAUUGGAUUGAAUUCUUACGAAAUUUUUGAUUUCAAAGAAGAGAAUUAUUAGAAAAGAAAUCAAUUGGAUUGAAUUCUUACGAAAUUUUUGAUUCCAAGGGUAAAUGUGCAGGUUCAUCACGGUGGUGCUGGAACCACAGCCGCAGGACUAAAAGCUGGGGUAAUGCUUAUUUAAUUAGUUUCCAUUUUAUGUUGCUGACUGCAUGAGUGCGUGUUUUGAUCAAAUAAUUUAACUAUAUCAGAGUGAGGUGUUAACUUGAGCAUGUACAGCUACAAACAGUUUCUUUGAUUCUCUCUCUUUCUCUCCAAUCAUUUCACCUACCAUAUAUUUUAUGCCCCCUUGUUCUUUAAUAAUAUUUCCUCUCUUCUAAAAGGAAAAAUUCUACUUCAGGAUUCUAAUGAAUAUAUGUAUUUGUUAGAUAAUAGGUAAUUGGAAAUGACAAUAGGAUAUGAUUGGUAACCUAUUUUAAACUAUGUAAUUUAAUAUUAACUAUAAUUGAAUGCUUUUAGUUUUUUAUUUUUCCUAUUGAGAAACUUCUUAAUUACAGUGCCCGACUACCAUAGUGCCAUUCUUUGGAGACCAGUUUUUCUGGGGUGAUCAAAUACAUAAACGAGGGCUGGGACCUGCACCGACGCCAAUAGCUAAGCUCAGCGUUGAGAGCCUUUCAAAUGCAAUAAGGUUCAUGCUGCAGCCAGAGGUAAUUCUGAUGUGUAUAUGUGCUCCCAAUUCAUGCAAGAGUUGAUUCCAGAGGAUGACAAUACAAUAGAUUACUCUAGCCUUUAUAUUUAAACUUCAUUUUAUAUGAUUUAUCCCAUUUAUAGUUCCAUUAGUCUUUGGAAGAUUAGAUUUCAUUGAUUGUGCAGCAAAUAUGAUGCUACUCCAUGAUGCUUAUGUUGCUUUUGAUUCAUACUCACUUUGUAGUUCAUCUCAUUAUUUUUGUCCAGUUUACUUUUUCACACAUAUUAAUAAAAAUAAUUUAUUUAUUAACUUUCUAAAUAUAUCCAUCUUAAAAAUAUUAAAUUUUAUUAAAUAAUAAAAAAUAUUUGAGAGGUUGUAUUGAAAAUAAAAUUAAAUUAAAUACGGUUAUAAUAGUCAAUUUAUAUCUUAAUCAUAUUCGCACAAUAGAAAAAAAAGGAAAGAUGUAUAAAAAUUACGGAAUAGAUGGAAUAUAUUUUUCAAUGAAAUUAGACUUCCUCCCCAUCUUAUGUGGAGUUUGUCAUAGCCAUAAACAAAUACAAGAACUUUCAUGUCCUUGCAGGCCUAGUUGUUACGAUCAAUCUUCCUUAUUUGAUUUAGCCCAUCAACUCUAUUCCUUCGCAUAUUGACCAUCACGUCUGCCAUCACCCAUUUGCAUUUGCAGCUUUCUUUAAAUGCUUCAGUCUUCCUUCACUUCUAUGAAAAUCCAAUUGUCAGUUACUAAAUGGGUACUUUCAAUUUUCUUAGGUGAAAUCUCAGGCAAUGGAACUAGCAAAGUUGAUAGAGAAAGAAGAUGGUGUUGGUGCUGCAGUUGAUGCAUUUCAUCGGCAUUUGCCUCGUGAACUUCCUCUGCCUACUGCGGCUUCUUUAGAUGAAGACAAACAUCCAGACCAUCUACAAUGGUUCUUGAUUCAACUCCAAAAGUGGUUCUGCCUGCCUUGUGGAGUAUAGGAUUCUUUCCUAUUUUUCAUUUUUAUGUCACAGGUUAGUUUUAUCAAAUUUUCUUUUAAUCAAUUCAUUCAUUCCAUUGAUUGGAUCUACUGUGUGGUGGUGAGUUAUAUAUAGUUUUGAAGUCACAUCUGCAGGGUUAUUGUGCAAUAAUAAUUCAUUAAAUUUUGUUUUUUCAAAAUGAAUUAUACCAAAUUAUUUAAAAUUAAUAUUUAUAACUGAUUUUCGUCCAUCUACUCUUCACCCACAGUUUCUCCUCUUCUGCAGUACCAAAUACCCAUUACAGGCCUCAUCCCAUUACAUGUUAUAAAUGAAAAAAAAAAAAAAAAAAAAAACAUUGUUUCUCAUAAGAUGGUGAAUUUUUAUUGGGAUACAAGUAAUAAUUAAUUAAAAGGUGAAAAUAAAUGAAUAAUGAGAGUUUAUAUUAUAUUUGUUUGAUAAAAAAACCAAAGGGGAAGCUGGAGAAACUUAGAUCUUUGUUAUUUGUGCAGGUUUCAAGCAACAGACAACUAGAGAUUUGUGCUAAUGCUGUUGGCUUAUGCUGGUGGAUGCUUCCAUUGUGUUGUUGCAAACAAUAAAUAAAUAAAUAAAUAAAAACUAUAUACAGCAGCAAUCGUGGGUGGCUGUUUCUUUCUUUUUGCCAAAAAUAAAUAAAUAAAAUCGUGUGUUGUUCUGUUUGAGACAGAAAAAAUUGAUGUAAUAAACAAUUCAUUUUGUGUUGCUUUGAAUUUUGAUGGGCAUGUGGUGGAAAUGUAUGUGAUAUGCCAGACAAUGAAGGACUAUGAAAGAACAGGGAAAAAAUGAGAGAAAUUAAUUAAAAAUAUUAUUUUUAUUUAUUUUUUUUAAAGGUGUUAGAAAAUAAAAUUUAAUCUAACGAGUUGACAUGUUAACAAAAAAUAACAUCAUAAAAUUGAGGUAUCAUUUAUGUAAUUUACCUUCAAUAACAUAAAUCGAUAGAGAAAAGUAGGAAUUGGCUAAGAUGAGAGUGAAUUAAGAACAAGCAAGGUCUUCAAACUGAAUUAUACAAAUUCUAGUCUGAAUUUUUGAAAUAUUUUUAAAUCAAUUUAAAUUUUUUAGAUAGUAGAUUUUUGGGUUGACAUCAUAAGGUAAAUUUUAAUUGCAAAGUUUAUAAAUUGUGUGUAAUUAUUAUUAGACCGGAUGGAAAAAAUUAAAUGUUUAUGUGAAUUUAUGAUUAUAGCUAAAUUUUUAAAUAUUGUAAAAUGAAGUUUAAUAAUUCUCAAUUUAUUGCGAUUAUAGUAAAAAUAAAUUAAAUUAUUAAAUUUUAAAAUAAAUUAUAAUAUAGGUCUUAAACCUUGAAUAAAUUUACAACUUUAAUUUUUAUAUUUUCAACAUUAAAUAAUUUAAUUUCUCACUUUUGUUAUAUAUAUAUACAAAUUGGUAAUUUCAUCCAAAUUUCCAUCAAAUUACUACUAAUUUUAAUCGAAAUGAUCAAAUGAUAACUUCAAUCGGACAUAGGUAAAGCUUCUAAGAUUUUAUUUUAUUAAAAAAAGUCUUUUAUUUUAAAUUUGUAUUUAAAAAUAAAUAUAUUUUAUAUUUUAUUAUAUAUAAUAAAUAUUUUAUAAUACUAUAAUUAGAUAUAUUGUCUUUUGUUAAUAAUAUUAAUGUCAAUUUAAUUAAAUAUUUUAUUAUAUAAAAAUUUUAUUUUUAAACGUCAUAGUCUUAUUUGAUUUAGAAAUUUAAUUUAGUAAUUAAAGACAGGUAACUCUUUUGAUAAAUCCAGGUUGGAAUAUCUGAUUUCUCAAUCUACUACUUGAAAAAGGAAAAACAAAAAUAAAAAACAACUAUUACACAGCCAUUAUCAAGUCUGUGGUUCGCUUUUUGUAAAGCUUGAUAUUUUUCCACCUUGAUUCCAUGUAGUGGCUUGAACUAUCAGGCGCCGCAUACACCCCACACUUGAAAUAGUGCUCCGCCGGGCCGUCGUCGUAGACCACCACUUUUUGUUUACCAUUGACGUAAACUUUUAUUUCCCCUUUUCCGACGUUAUGAAUCACGUUAAGCCUUAACCACUUAUUAUAGAUGUCUGUGGCCACCGGGUCGGACCUGUAGGGCUUCAGUUGGCCAUUGUAAACUCUAAGUUGCAGAGAUGUGGAUUUGGUAACUGCCCCAAAUACCUGCAUAACUGUGACCCCUGAGGUUCCUUCUGGAACGUACAAUUGCCCUUCGAAUUGCCAAACUCCAGAUGAGUAGUCAUGUCCCUGCAAAUAAGUGUUAGUUAAUUAAUUAAUUAAAUUUAAAAUUAAAUUAAAUAAAUUAAAAAUUAAAAUUUUAAUAAAAGAAUUAAAUCAAACCGAUUAAUAAUUCUUUCAUACCUAUAAAUAUUCCUCAAUAAAUUAUACAUGAGUUUAUGAAAUAUGUCAAAAAUCACAGAAGGAUUAAUUAAUUAUGUUAAUAUAUUAUUUAUUAUGCACGCACAUAUUUAAUUUGAUAAUAAGUAUAUCUGAAUAAAUAUAUGAGAUUUUAGAUUCUACUCUUCUAAUUUUUAUUUUAAAAAAAUAUAUAUAUUAUCUACGGUUGAAUUUACCUAAUAUAAAAUAAUUUAAUCUCUUAAAUUUAGUUAAUUAACAAAAUAAAUAGUUGGCAUAAUUACAUUUUGUAUUUAAAUAAUUAUAUAUUUCACAAAGUAUUUAAUUAUAUUAUCAAAAUAGAUAAUAUUAGAUUAUAUAAAAAAAAUUUUAAAAUCUUUUUCACAAAAAUUAUUUGAAAAUAAUUUUAAUGGUUGUUAAUAAUAUAUCACCAUAAUUUUUUUUUUGAAAAAUUAUAAAUCAUAAUAUAUGAAUUUAAGAAUUUAAUAAAAUUUAUUUACUGUUUAAAAACUAUAUAUUAUAUUAUCACUACUAUAUUUUAGGUUUAAACAAUAAUAAAAUUAAAUUAGUAAUAUUUUUUAUACUUUGUAAAAAAUAAAUAAACUAUUGAAAUAUAAAAAAAUUUAAAUAUAAAGACAAUUUUGGUAACAAGAUAAAGUUUCUAAAAUUGAAAAAAAGAAUUAUGCUUGUAUUAACGUAAAUUAAAUAUAAAAAACAAUACACAAAAACAGAUAAACAUAUAUUUAGAAAUUAAUUUUUAAAAUUUAUCCAAGAUUCUUUCCAAGAUUAAAGUAUAAAUAUCACUCUAUGUUUGUUAAUUUUCGGUAUAAAAAUCAUUUGCAGAAAUUUCAAAACAACCAAAAAAAAAAAAGUUUAAAACAACUUUUGCGGUAGAACGAGAGAGAGAGAGGCUUAGCUUAGAGCUUUACCUUAAUGCGAACUUCAGUUCGGGGUCUGGUAGGGCUGCCAACUUUGAAGGGCUUGUCAUUCUCGUAAACCCAAAACCGUCGAAUCCCAUUUUUGUAAGAAUAACGUUCGUUCAAGGGCUUGUCAUAUGGUUUCUGUAUGAGGAAGUUGUCCUCUGUUAAUGCCACCUCACUGAAUCCAUCAGUUGGAUCUGCGCUGCUGUUCUUCAACAAGCUCACCAUAGCCAUAAUGAGGACAAAACUUGAGUAAGCUGAGAGUUUCAUUUUCAUUUCCCUUAUAACCUGUCCUUAAUUCUUCCCAUAUUUAUAUUCGCUUGCCACUUAUACUUUCCUUUUUUUUUUUCACAAGAUGAAGUAUUUAUUAAAAAAGUAUGUAUAAAAUUAUAAUUUUAUUAAAAAUUAAAUUAUUUAUUAAAAUAUAUUAUUAUAUAUAAUAAAAAAAUUAAAAUUUUCAUAAUAAUUUUAAACGGGUAUCAAAUUAUUAACUUAAUAAUAAUUUAUAUAUAGAGAUAUACAAAUAUUCAUUUUUUUCAUUAUCUACUUGUGAUAUGAAUUAUUUGUUCUAACAGAUUAAAUACCAAUUAUAAGCUACAAUUUGUAAAGAUUUUGGGAUAAUUGCAUAAAACAAAGAAAAUGCAGAACAUGUAAUAAGAUUUUAGGGAUAAUCGCAUAAAACAUAGAAAAUGCAGAAUAUCUUAUAAGAUUUUGGAGAUAAUUGCAUAAAAUAUAGAAAAUGCAAAACAUGUUAAACACUAUUAUAUGAAAAAGUUAUCAAAUUAUUGAUUCACAUAAUAUUUUUAAUCGAUAAAUUAAUUUAAUUUAUUGUGUUCAAUGAAAAAAUAACAAAAGAUAUAUUUAUUUUACGGAAUCAAAUUUAAGAGACUUAAGAAAUGACGAAAAAGAAAAUAAAAUGAAGUUGAAGAAUUCAAAUACCUGAUGAACAAAUUCAAACUUGAAAAAAAUCUUCUAAUUCUGAAAGAAUAAGAGUUAAGAUAUUAGUUGAAAAACAUCUUAAUAAUCUGAGAUUCAGAAAAUAAAGUUUUUAUAGGAUUUUGUGAAUUUAGAAAAAAUUUAGGUCUAGAGGAGGGCAAUCAUCAUUUUAUCGGUUUUCUUUUGUCUGCUAGUGACGUAUAACAAACUGUCUAUCAUUGGGCCACCUGUCCCUGCCAUGUUGAUUCGGACAUAUGAGAAUAUCAUAUUCCUGCUACAUGCGUAACGGCCUCUGAUUCUCCACGGGCACGCAUGCUGAUGGAUCCGCCAGACGGAUGGAUCGGUUUCCUUUUAGGUUCCGAGCCGGGCCGGAACCUAAAAUUAAAACUGAGUCAAAAAAUGAUCUGUCUGAUGAGCCGUACGGGCUGGGCGGGCCUGAUUGAGAAAUUUAGAUAGAAUUCGGUUUCAAGGCUGAGUGGGCCGGACUGGAUCCAUGCGGGAGACUUGAGGGUCUCUAAAUAAUGGGCUAUUGUCAUGGGUCUGACCCCAGACCGGAGUGAAAAAAUCCCUCGUAUUAUAAGAUUAUAAGAUCAAAAAAAAUUCUCCUUUUAAAUAAUGUAAGUGUUCAAUCAGUACAUGAAUAUAAGAGGGAAUUUAUUCUAUUAUUUUGAUAGGUGCAAUUGCUAUGGCUCGUUAAUUAUAAAUAGAAUUAAUAAUUGCACUCUGAAACCUCCGUUUGUAUAAAAUAAUUUGUACAAAAUGUUUUUCAAAAAAAUAUAUUUAUAUUUUUUUGUGUUCUAACAUUUAAAAAUUUUAGUUAAUAGAAAAAUAUUUUUUUGAUUAAAGAAAAAAAAAGUUAUUUAAAAAAAGUUAUUUCUACAUUCAAAUGAGAAUUCAUUUUUAGUGUUUUAAAAUUUUUAUUAAAAUUUCUAUAUAUAAAUUUUUUAAAUUAAAAUUAAAUAAUAAAAAAUUAUUUCUAUUUAAAAAAUAUUUUUUAAAUAUUAAAUUAUUUUCCACAAACAAACGUAAUAUAAAUUAUAAUUUAGUUUACCUAUAUAGGUACACCAUCUAAUUAUUUUACUAAUGACUCGUUAGUUUUAUGAAAUUUUUUUUUUUAGAAAAAUAUUUUUUUACAUCUUUUGAGGGUUUUAACCUUUAGAAAAUUUAAUUAAUAAAAAAUAUUUUAUUAAUUAAAAUAAAAAUUAAAUCAUUUUAAAGAAAAUUAAUUUUAAAAAGAAAAAAUAUAAAAAAUACUCCAUAAUGUAUUAAUUUUUUAUUUCCGUUCAAUUUAUAUUAAAAUAAUAAUUGUGAUAUUGCUCUGUUAGCAAAUAGCAGUAAUUUAAGUAAUUUAACAUAAAAAUUAUAUCACGAAUUACUAAUUUAAUACAAAUUGAAUUACAAAUCUAAAAUAAAAAUGAAUAAAAAUAUAUGCUAUUUUUUUAUAUUUUCUAAUUAAUAAAUAUAUUUUAUUUGUUAUAUCAGUAAUAUUUUAUGACAUCAUAAAAUUACCAUUAUUUAUUAAUUUAUAAUAGAUAUUAUUUUAACAUAAAUUUGAUCUACUGACUUUAAAAUAAAAAUGACUAAAAUUAUAUAAUAAUUUUUUAUAAUUUUUUUAAAAAAAUUAUUUUUCUGAAAAUAUUAUUAAAAUUUUUAUAUAUAAAUUUAUUAAUAUAUUUUAAUUUUUAAAUUAAAAUUAAAUAAUGAAAAUAAAUUAUUUUAUUAAAAAAUAUUUUACAAAUAUAAAUUAUUUUCUAUAAAUAAAUGAAGUCUUAAUGUUUUUUUUGGGAAAUAUUCUUCUCUUCUUUUUGGCCAUUUCUGGAUAAGGGAGACUUUCUCCCAACUGAAUUGUGGAUAUCAUCUCUACCUAUAGAUUGGCUGUGUAUUAGUUUUGUGUUGCAAGUCUUAUAGAUUCAAGGUAGAGAAUGAGUUUUUAGACCUACACGCGAUGGUUUACAAUGAUCUAUUAUUUUACGGUGUUGGAGCUCUAUGCAUAGGUAGAGAGUUGUGAUGCUGCAAUGGGAAGCUAUCUUUAGGCCAUUUUCAACGGUGCGCUAAUUUUCAUUUUGGCGUUGGAGGUGGCCCUUCAAAACUGUGCCAAAAUCUAACGGUUCUUUUUUAAAUUAUAAUAUAAUUCAAAAUUUUUAAUUUUUUUUACUCUUAUAAUUUAUUAUAUUUUUAAUUUAUUUUAUAUUUUUAUAAUUAUUGAAAUUUAAUUUAAAUUAAUAUAUUCACAAUUAUAAAUAAUAUUUAUAAUAAAUUAAUUUAUUUAUAAUAUAUUAUAUAAAAUAAUAUAAAUAAAUUAGUAAAUUGACACAUAUAUUAUAAUUGAACUUCGUAAUGAGCAUUUGUGGGAGUAAUAUACAAAUUCAAAUGAUCAUAUAAAUUAGCUUAUAAUUUUUUAUUGAUAAUUUAGUAUGUAUGAGUUUAUUUUAUUUUUAAUUUGCUAAUUAAUGUUUAAUUAAUGUAUGUUUAUAAUUAAUGUUUAAGUAAUAUUUUUUUAUAAUUAUUAUUUAAUUAAUACAUUUUUAUAAUUAAUAUGUUUUUUUGUUUAUUUAUAAAAUAAUUAAAUAUUUCAAUAUAAGAUGGAAAUAUAAAAUAUAUAAAUAUUUAGAGUGAAUAUAUAAAAUUAUAUGAAUUUUUUGAGUGAAAUAUAUAAAUAAAAUUAAAGUAAAAUAAAUAAUAUAAUAUUAAAGAUAAAAGAAUAUAAAUAAAAUAUUUUUUUGGUGUUAAAAUUUGUGCAGAAGGUCAGAGAUAAUAUUGCACCAUUUUAGUACAAAGUACCAAAAUAGUGCAAAAAAUGAUGCAUAGAGUUGGAAAUGGCCUUAUUGUCAUACCCGGCUGGAGUCCGGCAUCGGAAUUCUACUUUCCGGUGGAGUCCGGGAUGUCGGAAGUCUCUAGAAGGGUAGGAUUUAUGUUUUCCGACAGUGUUAUGAUGCAUUUGAAGGUUUUUAGUUGAAUUGAUUUGAGUUGGUUUGAGGAAAGGAAGAGAAAAGGCUAUGGAGACUUUUGCCAAGUUCGGCCGCCGAAGGUAAGUUCGGCCGCCGAAAGUGCCCAAUGUUCGGCUUCCGCAGUUCAGAUUCGGCCCCCGAAUGUUGCAUGGUUUUGCAUGCGAUUCGGCAGCCGAAGCUGAGUUGCUCAGCCAACUAAUGAGCAUUCCUGAGUCAGCAUUUUGGACAGGUGUUGGCUCCACACCCUGUCCAGAAGCUUGGCCACGUCUCCUAUAUUGUUCAGCUCCUGCAAGUGUGUUGUUUUGUUGGGUGUCAAAAGUUUUGAGAGUUUGAAGCAAAAAGCUUAGGUUUGAGAGUUUAUGCGUGUGAAGAGAGUUGAUUCAUUUUCUUUGUUCAGAUCGUUCAUCUUCUUGAAUACAGGAGGUAAGUGAAGAUCUUGAACAUGUUUUACUGUUUUACAGAAGCUUUAUGAAGGUUUGGGUAGAGAUGCAUGCUUAGGUGACAAAGGGUGUUUUCUUUUGAUGGUUUAGCUUGUAAGCAUGAUUAUGUGUUCUGUGUGAUGUGUUUUGUUGGGGUGUUUAGGUAGUUUUGGACCCCUUUGUACAUAUAUAUGAGUAUAUGUGUGUGGAGGAGUUGAGGUAUGCAUGUUUUGAGAGCUUGAAGGGAUGGAGGAGCUUGUUUGUCGUCGGGGCUGAGUUCUGGAUGAACUCAGGUUCGGUAGCCGAAGGUUCAUUCGGCCGCCGAACCUCUUGCAUGGUGGCUUAGGCUGCCACAGCUUGCCCCCGCGAGUUUUGAAUGUUCGGCUCUGUUUGGGGGAUUCGGCCGCCGAAGGUGCCGCCGAAGGUUAGAGACUUUCGUCUCUGGAGUGCCUUUUGGCCCCCGAAACUUGCCCCCGAAAGGGUUCGGCCGCCGAAGCUUGAGAUUCGGCCGCCGAAGGUGCUUGAGUUUCGUCUCUGGAGAAGACUUUCGGCCGCCGAACCUGCCGCCGAAAGUGUUCUGUCCAGCUUUCUUUUGCCUACUUUGCAUGGUUAGUUGAGUGAGUUUAAGGGGAUGUUUAGGGAGGUUAAUAGAGUUAUUCAGAAGCUUGUUUGGUCCCUCAUUUGAGUCCAUCUGUAUAGGUACAGAUCAGAGGAACCAGAGAGAGCAGCAGUGAGUACUGCUCCAGCGUGUUCAGAGCCUGCAGAGUCAGUCCAGUUAGCCAGAGGUGAGUGGAGCUAAACUUCAUUCUUUUACUUGCACAAUGGAAUGUUUUAGCAUAUCUCAUGCAUCAUGAUUAUGCCAUAGGUUGAGUGCAUUAGUACCCACAAAUAUGUUGCAUUGCAUAGUUAUUUGUUGAUGUGGGUAAAUGCUGAAUGAUCCCAUAGUCACAGACAGGAAGUCCAGGAGUCUUUGACUACGCCCUGGCAAUGGUAAGUACAGAGGUGUUAUAUACACAUAUACAUAUAUGACAGGAAGACCAGGUGCUCGAUUCUACGCCCUGGCACAGAGCUACUGGGACUAUGUGGUGACAGGUUUACUCUUGAUGUGGCUUGUUUGUGUUAUGACACAUUCAAUGAGAUCAUGUUUUACUGAGAUGUUUUACUGUUCUACUCACUGGGCUAUAGAGCUCAUCCCACUCCCUUAACCCCAGUUUUGCAGGUUCAGUAUACAGUGUACAGGGACAGUCCAGCAGGAUACAGAAAGAGUAAAGAGAUGUGUAAUAGUGUAGAGUGGACAUGUAAUGUUAAAGAGAGAUGUAAUGGUUCUGUUUUCAGUUACAGAUGUGCUUGACUUAGUCGUUUGUGAUGUAAAUCUGUUGUUUUGUACAUGAUCUGUCUAUGUAUAUGUUUUCCUGUAUGUGUGAAAAUCAGGCGUAACAGGUAUGAGUUAACCCAUCUAGAGUAAGCUCUAGUCAGGGGUACAGAGUACAGAGUACAGAGUACAGAGUACAGAGAUAGUGCAUGCACAGGUUAAGCCUUGGUUCAGAAAAGAGAUUUUAUUUUUCACAGAAAAUGUAUGAUCAUGUAUGAGUUAUACAAGUACACAGAGAGUAUAGCAGGCUUGCUACGAGUUCUGGCGGCCUUAAGCCGACCUGAAUCCUAGCGCCGGUGACAGUCCAUUUUGGGGUCGUUACAGAUUGGUAUCAGAGCCCUAAGUUCACAUGAUCGGACCUAUAGAGACAGUGUCGGGCUCAUAACAGGUAGCAGUGGUCAAGCACAAUAGGAAAUCAUGUCCACCAGGAUAGGGUCUUGAGUCCUAUCUGUUUCAUGCCAUGAGUUAUGCAUGUGCCUUCUUGCUAUGUGCUGUUUAUGUGCUAAAGUGCUAUGUUAUAUGUUGUGUUUCCAGCUAGUAAAGAUGAGAGGAACUCGUCGAUCAGCUCGAUUGACUGGAGGCCCCCCAGAUAGUGAGAGACCAGCUGCUCGUCCUCCUGCAUUGCCAAGGGCAAGGUCGCAGAGAUCUAGCAGGGAAGGUACGUCAAUAGACCCUAGAAGGUCUGUCGACGAGAGCAGAAGAGGAACAGUGAGGGGAGGAAGAUCAGAGGAAAGGAGGGAAGCGAUGGAGAUUGAUCAGUCAAGAGAUGAUAGCAUGGGUAUAGGCAGUUUUGAGGAAGGUAUGGGAGAGUCGCAGGGAGGUGCUCAGACCUCAGGUUUUGGCUACCCAGAGUAUCCGAUGGGAGGUAUGUCGGAGUACUCUAGUUUUGUGCCAUAUCCUUCUUACAUGCCAUAUAUGCCUUAUCCCUCUUACUACCCACCAUAUCCUAUGUAUCCAUCUUCCCCUACCCAUCCAAGUGCAGCACACCCAGAGCCAAAUGAACCAGUACCACCACCAGAACCAGUAGCCCCUGUUGUUGACAGACAUCAACCUAGCUCAUCUGGAGGUAAGGUACAAAUGACGGAGUACUUGAAAUUGGAUGCUCCUAAAUAUAACACGGGAAAUGAUCCAUUUGAAUACCUCAGAUCAGUUAGGAUGAUAACUAGUGAGUUGGGAGCUGAUGAUAGUAGAGCCAUUGAGAUGGCAGGGUUUACACUUAAAUGCAAGAAAGCCAGAGAAUGGUUUAAGAAUUAUGUGGAACCCAGAAUGAACAGUAUGUCUUGGGGAGAGUUCGCCAAUGAGUUUGCAGGGUGGGCUUUUCCUGACAGUUCUAGGGAGAUGAAAGUAAUUGAGUUUGAACAGUUGCGACAGACAGAUGAGAUGAGUGUUGAUGAAUUCACAGAUAAGUUUCUGGAUUUGCUUCAGUAUGUGGGUCAAGCCUAUGAUACUGAUCAGAAGAAGGCAAGGAGAUAUACUAUGAGAUUGCAUCCCAGGUAUUCUUCUUUGAUUCUUCCAGCAGAAAAGGAGAGUUUCCACACGAUAGUGGACGCCGCCAGGAAAAUGGAAGCUAGUGCCAAUAUUCAGAAACAGUCAAAGGCACAGGCUUCGGGUUCUAAAGCCCCCACUUCAGGCAGCAAGAAAUGGGAUAGAGCGAAAGGAACAAAGAGUAAGUUCUGGAGUAAAGUGAAGUCAGGUCUGGGAAUAGGUAGUGGCUCAAGCUCUGGCACAGCUCCAGUCUGCAGACGAUGCGGAAAACCACAUGGAGGAGUUUGUCAGUUGGGAUCUACAGCUUGUUUUCGCUGUGGACAGGAAGGACAUAUUGCUCGGAAUUGUCCUCAGGUGACUUUUGCACCAUCCCAGCAGAUGAGUUCAGGCAGUGUGGUACAGCCAGUUGUUCGGCCAGCAGCUCCAGUCAUGCCUCAAAGUAGUGGCAGAGGUAGAGGGAGAGGGGCAGCCUCUACUUCAGCAGCAGGUUCCCGAGGUGGAAAUUCGGUAGCCCCAGCACGGAUUUUCACUGUGACACAGGAGGAGGCGAACACGUCGAACACAGUGGUGUCGGUAAUCUCAUCAUUGGGUGUUCAGAUGUGUAUGCUUUGAUGGACCCCGGUGCUUCUCAUUCCUUUAUUGCUUCGAGAGCCAUAGAGAGAUUGGGUUUGAUCAGUUCUGAGUUAGAGUAUCCUCUCUGGGUCAGUGGACCUAGAUGUGACCCAUCAGUGGCAGUGUCAGUCUGUCGUUUCAGUCUAGUGUUCAUAGAGGGUAGAUACCUUCUAGCUGACCUUGUGGUUCUAGAUUUGACGGAUUUUGAUGUCAUUCUAGGGAUGGAUUGGUUAUCUACAUAUAGUGCUACAUUGGACUGUAGAGAGAAGAUAGUGAGUCUCAGAGACCAGGAUGGGUCAGAGUGUGUCUUUAGAGGAGACAGGAGAGGUACACCCAGAGGUAUGAUUUUAGCCCUUCAGGCUCAUCGUUUGCUUAGGAGGGGUUGUCAGGGGUUUCUAGCUCAUGUGAGAGAGCUAGACAGUCAGGUGAGGGAACCAGCCACCGUACCAGUAGUUCGAGAGUUUCUCGAUGUGUUCCCAGACGAUUUACCAGGACUCCCACCUGAUAGGGAGAUAAGGUUUGAAAUUGAAUUGCUGCCAGGUACCAGACCUAUCUCUAUUCCUCCCUACAGGAUGGCGCCAGCAGAGUUACAAGAGUUGAAAGAACAGUUGCAGGAUUUGGUAGAUAAGGGUUUCAUCCGCCCUAGUACCUCACCUUGGGGUGCUCCAGUGCUCUUUGUCAGAAAGAAGGAUGGAUCCCUCAGACUUUGUAUCGACUACAGACAGUUGAACAAGGUCACUAUCAAGGAUAGGUAUCCUCUACCUAGGAUUGAUGAUCUAUUUGACCAGCUAGCUGGAGCAGGUUGUUUCUCUAAAAUAGAUCUGAGAUCCGGGUAUCAUCAGUUGAGAGUCAGAGAGGCAGAUGUGCCUAAGACAGCUUUCAGGACCAGAUAUGGGCAUUAUGAGUUCUUAGUGAUGCCGUUCGGGUUGACUAACGCCCCUGCAGCAUUCAUGGAUCUCAUGAAUAGAGUGUUCAGUGAGUUUCUGGAUCACUUUGUCAUUGUUUUCAUCGAUGAUAUUUUGGUGUAUUCCAGAGAUGCAGAGGAGCAUGCCCAGCAUCUGAGGAUAGUUUUGCAGACACUGAGAGAGCAUGGUUUGUAUGCCAAGUUCUCGAAGUGUGAGUUUUGGUUGAGGAGCAUUGCCUUCUUGGGACACGUGGUAUCAGCAGAGGGUAUUGAGGUAGACCCCAAGAAGAUAGAGGCUGUAGCGAACUGGCCCAGACCCACUACGGUGACUGAGAUUAAAAGCUUUCUGGGACUGGCAGGUUACUACAGGAGGUUCGUGCAGAACUUCUCAAAGAUAGCAGCUCCGAUGACCAAACUAACUCAGAAGAAUCAGAAGUUUGUCUGGUCAGACCAGUGUGAAGAGAGCUUUGAGGAGCUCAAGCGGAGAUUGACCACAGCACCAGUGUUAGCUCUGCCUGUCAGUAAUGAGGAUUUCACAGUGUUCUGUGAUGCAUCUCGAGUGGGAUUGGGUUGUGUAUUGAUGCAGAGUGAGCGGGUGAUAGCUUAUGCUUCUAGACAGUUGAAGAAGCACGAGUNNNNNNNNNNNNNNNNNNNNNNNNNNNNNNNNNNNNNNNNNNNNNNNNNNNNNNNNNNNNNNNNNNNNNNNNNNNNNNNNNNNNNNNNNNNNNNNNNNNNNNNNNNNNNNNNNNNNNNNNNNNNNNNNNNNNNNNNNNNNNNNNNNNNNNNNNNNNNNNNNNNNNNNNNNNNNNNNNNNNNNNNNNNNNNNNNNNNNGUCGUGGUGGAGCUUUACAAGCUCUUAGAAGAAGGGUUACAGUUAGAGUUGUCUGGUACAGGUGCAUUGAUAGCACAGAUGCGAGUGACACCUGUGUUUCUGGAGCAGAUAGCUCGGAGACAGCAUGAGGACCCUGAGUUGAUGAAAAUUGCCAGGACUGUUCAGUCAGGCAACAGUGCAGAGUUCAGCUUUGACAGCAAAGGGAUCCUCCGCUAUGGGAAUCGACUUUGUGUACCAGAUACGAGCAGUGUGAAGGCAGACAUUAUGAGGGAAGCUCAUAAUGCGCGGUAUAGUGUUCACCCAGGAGCCACCAAGAUGUAUCAAGAUCUGAAAAAGGUCUAUUGGUGGCCAGCCAUGAAGAUAGAAGUGGCACAAUUUGUGACAGCCUGUGAGAUUUGCCAGAGGGUGAAACUAGAGCAUCAGAAACCAGCAGGAAUGCUUAACCCAUUGCCGAUUCCAGAGUGGAAAUGGGAGAACAUAGCCAUGGAUUUUGUAGUGGGUUUACCAGCAGCAUCCAACAGGAUAGACUCUAUAUGGGUGAUUGUGGACAGACUCACGAAAUCUGCUCAUUUUCUUCCAGUACGGAGUAACUAUUCUGUGGAUAAGUUGGCACAGGUCUAUCUGGAUGAGAUAGUGAGAUUACAUGGAGUUCCAGUGUCUAUAGUUUCAGACAGAGGACCUCAGUUUACCUCUAGAUUUUGGCGAAGUCUGCAGAGUGCGAUGGGCACGAGAUUAGAGUUUAGCACUGCUUUCCACCCACAGACUGAUGGACAGUCAGAGAGGACCAUCCAGACCAUAGAGGAUAUGCUUCGACUGUGUGUGUUAGACUUUGGCGGUUUUUGGCGGCAGCAUCUACCUUUGGUGGAGUUUGCCUACAAUAACAGCCAUCAUGCUAGCAUAGGGAUGGCUCCUUAUAAAGCUUUGUAUGGGAGGAAGUGCAGAUCCCCUGUUUGUUGGGAAGAAAUAAGAGAGAAGGCUCUUGCAGGGCCAGAGUUAGUAGAGAUUACCAGUAGAGUGGUGCCCGUGAUCAGAGAGAGAAUCAGAACAGCGCAGAGUAGACAGAAAAGUUAUGCAGACGUGCGCAGAAAAUAGUUAGAGUUUCAGGAGGGUAAUAUGGUAUUGCUGAAAGUGUCUCCAAUGAAAGGAGUGGUUCGUUUUGGGAAGAAGGGUAAAUUAGCUCCACGGUACAUUGGACCCUUUGAAAUUGUGCAGAGGAUCGGCAAUGUGUCAUAUAAGCUGGAUUUACCUGCUUCUAUGGCGAGAAUUCACCCGGUAUUUCAUGUUUCUAUGCUACGGCAGUUUGUGUCAGAUCCGAAUCAGGUUCUGAGUGAGCCUGAGGUGGAGAUUCUUACAGAUCUCACCUAUAUAGAGCAGCCAGUGCGGAUUCUGGACACGCAGAUCAGACAGCUAAGAAACAAGGAGAUUCCGAUGGUGAAAGUUCUAUGGAACCACCAUAAUCUAGAAGAGUGCACCUGGGAGACGCGAGAGUCGAUGCUCCAGCAGUAUCCAUAUUUGUUUUGAGGUUAGUUUCCUCCGUUUUUUGUGUUAUUUGUGUUAGUAUCAUUCGAGGACGAAUGUUCUUAAGGGGGGGAGAAUGUAAUACCCGGCUGGAGUCCGGCAUCGGAAUUCUACUUUCCGGUGGAGUCCGGGAUGUCGGAAGUCUCUAGAAGGGUAGGAUUUAUGUUUUCCGACAGUGUUAUGAUGCAUUUGAAGGUUUUUAGUUGAUUUGAUUUGAGUUGGUUUGAGGAAAGGAAGAGAAAAGGCUAUGGAGACUUUUGCCAAGUUCGGCCGCCGAAGGUAAGUUCGGCCGCCGAAAGUGCCCAAUGUUCGGCUUCCGCAGUUCAGAUUCGGCCCCCGAAUGUUGCAUGGUUUUGCAUGCGAUUCGGCAGCCGAAGCUGAGUUGCUCAGCCAACUAAUGAGCAUUCCUGAGUCAGCAUUUUGGACAGGUGUUGGCUCCACACCCUGUCCAGAAGCUUGGCCACGUCUCCUAUAUUGUCCAGCUCCUGCAAGUGUGUUGUUUUGUUGGGUGUCAAAAUUUUUGAGAGUUUGAAGCAAAAAGCUUAGGUUUGAGAGUUUAUGCGUGUGAAGAGAGUUGAUUCAUUUUCUUUGUUCAGAUCGUUCAUCUUCUUGAAUACAGGAGGUAAGUGAAGAUCUUUACAGAAGCUUUAUGAAGGUUUGGGUAGAGAUGCAUGCUUAGGUGACAAAGGGUGUUUUCUUUUGAUGGUUUAGCUUGUAAGCAUGAUUAUGUGUUCUGUGUGAUGUGUUUUGUUGGGGUGUUUAGGUAGUUUUGGACCCCUUUGUACAUAUACAUGAGUAUAUGUGUGUGGAGGAGUUGAGGUAUGCAUGUUUUGAGAGCUUGAAGGGAUGGAGGAGCUUGUUUGCCAUCGGGGCUGAGUUCUGGAUGAACUCAGGUUCGGCAGCCGAAGGUUCAUUCGGCCGCCGAACCCCUUGCAUGGUGGCUUAGGCUGCCACAGCUUGCCCCCGCGAGUUUUGAAUGUUCGGCUCUGUUUGGGGGAUUCGGCCGCCGAAGGUGCCGCCGAAGGUUAGAGACUUUCGUCUCUGGAGUGCCUUUUGGCCCCCGAAACUUGCCCCCGAAAGGGUUCGGCCGCCGAAGCUUGAGAUUCGGCCGCCGAAGGUGCUUGAGUUUCGUCUCUGGAGAGGACUUUCGACCGCCGAACCUGCCGCCGAAAGUGUUCUGUCCAGCUUUCUUUUGCCUGCUUUGCAUGGUUAGUUGAGUGAGUUUAAGGGGAUAUUUGGGGAGGUUAAUAGAGUUAUUCAGAAGCUUGUUUGGUCCCUCAUUUGAGUCCAUCUGUAUAGGUACAGAUCAGAGGAACCAGAGAGAGCAGCAGUGAGUACUGCUCCAGCGUGUUCAGAGCCUGCAGAGUGAGUCCAGUUAGCCAGAGGUGAGUGGAACUAAACUUCAUUCUUUUACUUGCACAAUGGAAUGUUUUAGCAUAUCUCAUGCAUCAUGAUUAUGCCAUAGGUUGAGUGCAUUAGUACCCACGAAUAUGUUGCAUUGCAUAGUUAUUUGUUGAUGUGGGUAAAUGCUGAAUGAUCCCAUAGUCACAGACAGGAAGUCCAGGAGCCUUUGACUACGCCCUGGCAGGUAUAGCAAAGUCCAGGAGCCUUUGACUACGCCCUGGCAGGUAUAGCAAAGACCAGGAGCCUUUGACUACGCCCUGGCAAUGGUAAGUACAGAGGUGUUAUAUACACAUAUACAUAUAUGACAGGAAGACCAGGUGCUCGAUUCUACGCCGUGGCACAGAGCUACUGGGACUAUGUGGUGACAGGUUUACUCUUGAUGUGGCUUGUUUGUGUUAUGACGCAUUCCAUGAGAUCAUGUUUUACUGAGAUGUUUUACUAUUCUACUCAAUGGGCUAUAGAGCUCAUCCCACUCCCUUAACCCCAGUUUUGCAGGUUCAGUAUACAGUGUACAGGGACAGUCCAGCAGGAUACAGAAAGAGUAAAGAGAUGUGUAAUAGUGUAGAGUGGACAUGUAAUGUUAAAGAGAGAUGUAAUGGUUCUGUUUUCAGUUACAGAUGUGCUUGACUUAGUCGUUUGUGAUGUAAAUCUGUUGUUUUGUACAUGAUCUGUUUAUGUAUAUGUUUUCCUGUAUGUGUGAAAACCAGGCGUAACAGGUAUGAGUUAACCCAUCUAGAGUAAGCUCUAGUCAGGGGUACAGAGUACAGAGUACAGAGUACAGAGUACAGAGUACAAAGAUAGUGCAUGCACAGGUUAAGCCUUGGUUCAGAAAAGAGAUUUUAUUUUUCACAGAAAAUGUAUGAUCAUGUAUGAGUUGUACAGGUACACAGAGAGUAUAGCAGGCUUGCUACGAGUUCUGGCGGCCUUAAGCCGACCUGAAUCCUAGCGCCGGUGACGGUCCAUUUUGGGGUCGUUACACUUAUAGCCUCAUUUUUACUUUUCUUCAAUAGAAUAGUUAACCCUUAACGUUAACAAAAAGUAAAAUGUCAGUAAAAUUUGUUAUUCCUAUUUUUUAUAGUCCUAAUUUAUGAUUUGUUCGAGUGUUUGAGAUUUUUUUUAUAAAUUAUUAAAUAUUCAAAAUUUACUGAUUUGACUAAUUUAAAUUCGCGCUGAACAGACCUAUUAAGAGGUAAAACUAUCAUUCUCAAGUUUUUAAAAGUAUUUUAUAGUUUGAAUUUAAAAUCUCUAAUUAAAAGAGAAAAAAUUCGGAUUAUCUCAUCUCAUAUAUCAAAAUGAAUGCUUAAAUUUUAAUUUAGGAGGAGAAUAAAUUUUUAUCAACAUAUAUCUAAUGUUUGAAGGCUUUGAUACUCCCAUGAGAUUGCCUAUGUCUUCUUUUUCUAGUUUGGUGGUUCAACUCCGGUAUUGCGAAAAAUGUUCAGGCUUUGUUAUGCUAUGCUUAUGGAGUUUUCAUAUUCUAACAUCUUAUUUUAUUUUAUAAACUCUUUUAUUUGUUUACACUAUGUUUAGAUAAUAUGUAAUAUGUAGAAAAUAGGAAAGAAGAAAAAUAAUUAAGAAAACUAAUGAAAGAAUUCUACUUUCUAUUUUUAUUUAAAACAGUGGAGAAAAUAAAGCAAAAUAAUCUUUAUUUUACUUUAAUUUUUUUUCUCUCCGGUCUAGAAAGAAACUAGCAAAGAAUUAUGUUUUUUUUUUAAUUUUAAAUUUACAUUACGUAAACAAUAGAAAAAAAAAAAGUAUAAUGAUAAAUUUGUAAAUAUAUAAUCANNNNNNNNNNNNNNNNNNNNNNNNNNNNNNNNNNNNNNNNNNNNNNNNNNNNNNNNNNNNNNNNNNNNNNNNNNNNNNNNNNNNNNNNNNNNNNNNNNNNNNNNNNNNNNNNNNNNNNNNNNNNNNNNNNNNNNNNNNNNNNNNNNNNNNNNNNNNNNNNNNNNNNNNNNNNNNNNNNNNNNNNNNNNNNNNNNNNNNNNNNNNNNNNNNNNNNNNNNNNNNNNNNNNNNNNNNNNNNNNNNNNNNNNNNNNNNNNNNNNNNNNNNNNNNNNNNNNNNNNNNNNNNNNNNNNNNNNNNNNNNNNNNNNNUUUUUUCCUUCUCCUCUUUUCGAUUCUAUUUGACGGAAUAGGGGUUUUUUUGUGGAUUCUCUUUAUCAGUAGUAAUAAGGAGAAGAGUUCACAAAGCUAUGGCGAUUUCUUCUCUCUCUGCUUCAACAAUUCCAUCUUUGAAGACACCGCCCUCACAGCUGACUACUACCAAUUUGACUUCCUUGUCUUCGCUGCAGUUUCCAGCGCAGCUUCAGAGGCUUCAGUUUAGGGUCAGAGGGAUUUCCUCUCCUUCCAGGUCUCGAAUUUUGCAUCUGGUAAUGCUCUUAUACUCGAUCAUUUCCUCCCACCUCUUAUGUUUCGUUUUCUUCUUUUUCCCUUUUUGGAGGAGACUGAAGGAUGCAAAUUAGGUGAUACGGAUUUUAGAAUAGAAUAAUAAUUAGAGGAUGUAACAUAAACAUCUCUUGUUCAAUUUUUACGUAGGUCCUAGGCAAUUGGGUUGAAGUCAAUUUGAGAGAUAUGCUCACAUUCUAUGGAGUUUGUUCUUGAUUUUGUGCAGCUUAAAAAGCUCUGCUUAAGAUUUUAGCUGCUGUCAAUUGGUCUCAAGGGUGUUUAGUGCUUAGUGUUGGAUGCUUUUAUUUGGUCAGUUGGCUGAAAAGGAGAGUAGGAAGGAACUGGGUCCUAUGAAUAGUUACGUGUAGAGUCGUCAUAUUUGUUUUCAAUAUAAUUUCUACAUAUCGGAUGUUGCCCCUACCUCCUGGCAACUGACAAUACUAUUAGAAAAUAUCGGAUCUUAUAGUAAUUCCUCGUGAAAGAAGGAGAAGAAGAAGAAGAAGAAGAAGAAGAAGAAGAAGAAGAAAUAAUGUCAAUGGGAUUUAGAUUGAGGUCAUUUUGGGGCAUAUGAUUCUAUGUGAAAUCCUUAUUUUUUUUCAUUUCCAAAUAUCAAAGAUGAGAAUGAAUGAAUGGGUUUCCCGUUCCAUAUCCUCAUAAACCUGGCAAUUUCUUGGAGUAAUAGUUCAUUUCAUAAAAAUAGUUUUUAAAGACCAUAGUGGAAUUCAGAAUCCACUGGGUGCUUUUGCAAUGGUUCAUUUCAAUUUACUGCUUUACUUCAUUUUUAGCGGUUCUUACUUAUGUAAUGAAUAAAAUAUGUUCUGGAGGAUAUUUUGGCAGUAGUGCAUAAUUGGUGAAGGGCAUUUCUUUUUCUUAAAAAAUUGAAAUUACUUCAUGAAGUCAGUGCUUAAUAAUCUCAAAUCUCAAAUUUUUACCCAUCAACAGUAUGCUGGCAUUUUGGUGAUGUAUACUUUCGAAGAAAUUUAUUCUAUGACUAUGACAGAACUAUCUUUCUUCCUUUUCCAUCUCUAAUUCUGAGUUUAUAUUAUUCUGGGUAUAUUAGAUGCUCCUUCUUACAUUCAAAGUUCUGUCAAUUAGUAUGCUAUAUAUGUAACAACUAUUGUUGUCUUUUAUGCUUAUGCAUGAGCAUCAUGAUCCCUCAUGCUUUCUACCCAUUACACUUGAUCCCUAAGAAAUAAAUUGAGUUGCAGAUUUCAAGUUAGAUACAUGCUCUUUUUUCUUUUUUAUUUACCUUUUAGCUAGACAAAGUAAUUUAGUGGGAGCGGACAUUCGAUAUGCUUAAAGCUUAGUAGGUGAACAAAGUCAAGUCUUCACAAGAACAGCAAAUCUUGAAGAUGUAACUUAGUGUGGAAAGAAAUUGCUUGAUGUGUUGGAUUUGUUAUUCCAGAUAGUUGUUGCCUAGGCUCAUAGUAAUUGGUAUAUUUAGUAGUAGUUUGCAACUUAUCUUUUAGAGUUUGAGAAUUUAAUCAGAAGUUUCUUGACAUUAGAUUGGCAGCCAAACACAGUAUGCCCAUUUGAUUAUGGAACUAUGAAGUUAAUGCCAAUAUUAUGCUUCUGGUUCUUAGAAGAUGGGAUUUUUUUAUGGAUUUUUUAUCUCUCCAUUACUGUAUGUAAUUUGUUGUAAAUGUAAUAAAGAGAAUGCUCAAUCUUACUAGAUUAGAUUGGUCUUAUUAGUUGCUUUAUGUGCUAGUUUCUUUUUGCAUCUGUACUAUAUUGAGUUUAAACAAUUUGCUAAAUGAUUGUGCAGGUUGCAGCAAAGAAGCAAACAUUUUCAUCCCUUGAUGAGUUGUUGGAAAAUGCUGACAAGCCAGUGUUGGUCGACUUCUAUGCAACCUGGUGACUUCCUUUUCGUUCCUUUUCAAUGUGUUUUCUUUCUAGCCUUUCUUUUAUUACAUUUUAUGAGAAAGAAUUGUGUCAUGGAGAUGACGUCUGAUCAUCUUCAAAUCACCUAAAACCCUGCAGUAAAUUCUUCCAUCUUCCCAAUUAAAUAAUUAGAGUUAAUUUGCUGGCCUUAAGAGAUUUUUUUUAGAAUAUGUGAUGAGCAUUUUGUGCUAAAGACUGCAAUGAUGCUGAAUAAGGAUCUUUAAGAUGCAGAUUUUUUUUUUUAAAACUUUGACAUGGGUUGGAAUAGCAAUCAGAGAAUAAGAAUAAAUAGGCCAAGCUGUUGUUUGCAGGUGCGGUCCUUGCCAGCUUAUGAGUCCAAUUCUUGAUCAAGCAAGUGCUGUCCUAAAAGACACGAUCCAGGUGGUAAAAAUUGAUACUGAGAAGUACCCGAGCAUUGCUGACAAAUAUAGAAUAGAAGCAUUGCCUACAUUUAUCAUCUUUAAGGAUGGCAAACCUUAUGACCGCUUUGUAAGUUCGUUCAGUAUCUGUAAGCUUCUUUGAAAAAAAAUAAUUUUACAUCUUCAGGAUGAUAUUCUUGAAAUGCAAUGCUUUUUGUGAGACCAUCAACAAGGGUUUUCUCUUCACGUGUAUCUGAUUGCUGAUUGUCUUGUCAAUGGCAUUCUUUAUGAUAGAAAUUAAAAUAAAAUAUAGAAAAGGAAUAAGUAGGAGAUACUAUAUAUAAAACGUUUGCUACAAGGCUUACAAUCUGAAUCUGCUAGAGCCAGAGGAGAGCAAAUCACUUCCUCUCAAUAUUAUUUAUCCCCAUGCUGCAAUUCUUUCUUUUUAAAUUUUAGUCUACCAUUUGAUGUUUCAACGCCCAUGUACUGUCAUCCAUUUUCUGAUUUUGACUUGUUACUGACCUUGCUGCCUUGGUGUGGUAAUUUCCAGGAGGGUGCUUUGCCUAAAGAUAAGUUCAUUGAACGCAUCGAGAAUUCACUGCAAGUGAAGCAAUAGAUAUGGUAACCCUUGUCCCUUUUUAAGUCUGUCCCUUUCAGAAUGCGUAACCCUUGUCCCUUUUUAAGUCUGCCCCUUUCAGAAUGCAUUUGCAUGCUAUGAGACCCCAUAAAUAAACUCACUCCCAAUUUCGGCGCACAGAUUCUAUGAGGAAUGAAAUAUGAAGCCAUUAUGUGUAAUUUUUUACUAGGAAGGUCACCCAUUCUUCGCCUCCCAGAAUGCUGUAACGAGGGUAAUUGUACCUAAAAGAGUGAUAAACACAAAAAUACAAUAGCAUAUUUGUUUAUAACUCUUGGAAAUUUUGCAAAAAGAUUGUAUUUGUUUUUGAAACAUUUAUAAGCUCCACUCUUUUAAUGGUUACUGGACUUGGUGCAGCCAUCGUUGAUCAGGUCAUGUUAUCUCUUGGUUGAAUAAGUUUAUUCCAUUGCAGUUUCUGGAUCGAUUAGAAAGUUAGGCUACUAAAAGAAGUCCUGGAUUCAAAAUUUUCCACUCAGCAAGAUUGUGUAGGGGCAGCUAUGCAUGAUUGCUUCCUGCCAACUGUGGAAGCUUCAGAUUCUAACCUUUGUAGGGCAGAACCUUGGCUUGGUUUUUUGAUUAAUUUCAUGUUUCUACACAUCUUCCUCAUGUUGCAAUAGUUUAAAAUUACCAAGUUCAACUUUAAGCCAUUGAUGGAGGAAGGAAUCGACAUUGAGCUUGAUAAAAAUGAGAUUUAUUAUUAUUAAUAUUAUUUUAAGAAAAGAUUUAUACUUCGUUUGGAAUUAGUAUAUAGUUUUUCUUUAAGAAAUAACUUUUAGAAAAAAUUCAAUAUACUAAAAAAUUGAGAAGUUUAAAUAUUUUAAAUUUUUUAAUUAUGGUAAUGUAUAAUGGCUAGUCACGUGACAUGCAUUUAUCAGGCAUUUCCUUGUUAGUGUCAUUUUUUGAUAAAUUACAUAAUAAAUUAAAAGAGAGAGAAAGAGGAGAGAUGAAAUCUCGGAAAACGAAUCAAUGGAGAAGGGCAGCUGAAGUAGUGCGAUUGCGUCGGAAAGGGAUUUUUCCCAUUUUUGUGUUUAGGAUUUGUUAUUUUCGUUUGUGGUUUCUAUUUGAUUUGGCUUUUAUUUAAUUUUGGCUUUCGUUUUCUCUUCGAGUCUUCUUGUUUAUUUUCCGUCGCUUUUGAGCAAGAGGUCCGACGCUGUCCUUGAUUAACCCUCAACAAAGGAGGACAACCGGUUUUAGUUUUUAUUUUUAUUUUUUUAUUCUUUUUUUAUGAUUUUUGCAGAUCUACGACGAUCAUCCGCGAGGAUUCGUUCGUUUGGGUCUAAUUUAAUAAAAUCUAUGUUCAUCUAUUAUUUAAUUUAAUUUAACAUACGAUCAUGAUGAUCGUCUGUGGUUUUUAUCAAAUAUUUUUUUGAUAAAAUGUCUAAAUAAGUUUAAUUAAUUUUUUUUAAAAUAAAAAUUUGAAUUUUACUUUUAAAUACAAACUGAUUUUGAUGUAAUAAGUUUAAUUAAUAAUCUAUUUAUUUUUAAACUUUUAAAUAUCAAUAAUUAUAUAAUAUAAUAUCCGUCCAAAGUAUACGAUUAGCUAUUACCAUACGACGGAGCCACAUGCCAAAAUUCUAAUAAACUGUGACGUUCGGUCAUGAAAAUCUUCCAUAAGAGAGGAGAUCCGGUCAUUGUAAAGGUCAAUACUCGGAACAACAGAAAACUCGCCCUUUUAUGACUGGUCGAGUCUUUCUUAACAUUUAAGUUACCAUUAAAAGAUAUUAUACAGCACAUCUCCAUUACGCCUACAAACACGAGAUUUCUUAUCCACUGGCUGGUACUAGUCGGAUUACUAAGAAAAUCACCAACUAACUCCAUUUUCUCACAGUGUAAAAGAAGUAUACACAGAGUUCAAGGUACACAUUAUUGCACACUUUUCUUAAGUUCAAGCAACUUACUUACACUCAUCCUUUCUGAUAAAUUAUUAACUUGAGUGUCAGAGUGAUUGCCAAUAUGCGCCAACCACAUCACUUUCUUUCUUUUGUAGAGUGACCAAUCAUCUUUAGCUCAUUUUCAGCCACAUCAUUUAGUUACAUUACUGAGAUCACCCAUUGAGUUUUCUUGUUCAUUUGGGAUAAAUCCGAUUAGUUUUUUGUUUAUCUUUUCACUCAAAGUGCUUUCCCUCUUUGUCACUUUACCCUUAAAAUGGCUGAAAACUCAUGAGUUGUGGCUAAAUCUAUUACCAACAAAGGAGUCAUCGUCUCCUAUACCCCAGGUAGUGACAGGACACUCCUCUCAUGGUCAAUGAGAUAGACCUCAACAAUCCAAACAAUGAGCAAAUUGUACAAUACAUUAAAAAGCUCCAAGCAACUCUCAAGCAAUAUAAAUCUCGGGAGAAGGCCUCAUUCAUGGCUCCCAGAAUAAGGGAGGAAGUUUCUUUCGAGACCCCAAAGACAUGCAGUCCAAAAGAAAGGCCAAACUAGAAGAUGAGAAAUCAUCAGACGAGACCCCAAAAGAUGUCAAUUGGAAGUAGUACUAGAAGAAGCAAGAUGAAGAUUAUGGUUUGGACAACUCUUCACCCCUAUCAGAGGAAAUUCUUGCAAAGACUUUUCCCACAAAGUUCAAGCUGUCUAGUUUGGACAAAUACGACGGGAUGGUAGACCCUAGGAGUCAUUUGGCUAUCUUCUGAACUACGAUGCAGCUCCAGGAUGUCAAUGAAUUUGUAUUGUGCUGAGUCUUCUCGUCCACUCUCACAGGUUUGGCCUAAAAAUAGUAGCAGCAUUUGAGUUCAAGUUCUAUCUACAAUUUUACACAACUUGCUAUAUUAUUUAAAUCUAAGUUUGCUACUUGUAUAUCUCCUAAAAAAAUCUCCUCCGACUUAUGAAAAAUCCGACAAGGAGAGCGCGAGUCUUUAAGGAGUUUUAUCUCAUGUUUCAAUGUUAAAGCAAUACUGAUUGAAGAAUUGAAUCACGAGAUAGCAUGUGAGGAAUUAAAGAAAAGGACUCGCAACAUAAAAUUUAUGGAUUCGUUAAUCAAGAAUCCAAUAGCCACUUAUUAGCAAUUAAUGGAUAAGGCACAAAAAUACAUUUGGUUGAAUGAUGAAGUCUAGGCGCUAAGAGAGGAUAAGAAGACAUGUCAAAGUAAAACCUAGAAGCCAAAAAGGCAAGGCUACAAAAGAGAUCGGAAGAGGUAUCCCGUGUUUCGAGGGAAAGAAGAUCGAGGUAAGUAAUACACUCCUUUAAAUGACUCACGCACACAUGUUUUGAUGUGGAUUAGAAAAAACGACAAAGAGGUCAAAUGGCCCAUCAAGCUUAACCCAGACAAAGUGAACAUGUGGGACAGAAUAAAGUAUUGUCGAUUUCAUGAAAAUCAUGGGCACACUACAGAAGAAUGCAGGCAACUAAAGGACGAGAUUGAAAGUCUCAUUAGAGAUGAAACUAUAAUGAGAUUUGCUAUAAAAGAUAGAGAAGAAAAAGGGUCAGAGCCUGAGGUAAGAUCACUGGUCAAUCUUGAUGAAAAUGAAUCUGUAGGGGUUAUUCACAUAAUUGCAGGGGAUCAAGUAGCGAUAAGGAAACCAAGGUUUUGUAGAAAUAAAAUGUCAUUAAUAUUCAAUUCCUAAGUCAAAAUCUGAAUCUUUAACAUAGAAGAUCCAAUCCUUAAAAUAGUUUGACAUAACAAGAAGGGAUGCCGAGUCUAGUGAGUUAGGCGAAAACCAGAAGGGACUAUAUAAGGUCUCCAAGGUUAUUCGUCCGAAUGAUUAUAAGUUGGUCAAGUUAGAUGGCUAUGUCAUUUUUUAUUCUUGGAGUAUUGUGUAAUUCAUGGAAAUAUUAUCAAUAAAAUUAUGAUGUAUUUUUCAAUUCUUUUAGUAUUUAAAUUAGAAUUAUCAGAAACGAUAGAUUCAUGAAAGCGUUGGGCUAAAUAAAAUGCCAUAAGGCGGGUAAUCGCCAGGCAAGCCACAAGGCGAGUGACUGCCAAGUGAAUCUUUAGGUAUUAGCCCCAAAAGACAAGGGUUAAGACAAUUUCUAUCAAAAAACGCCACAAGACGAGUGACCAUUAAGCGAGUUUUCGAGUGUUAAUCCUAAAAUAUAAGAAUUAAGGCAAUUUAUGUCAAAGAACACUACAAGGAGAGCAAUCGUCAUACAUAUGACCGAGUUUCAAACCUAUUAAUAAAGUUUAAGGCAUUUUUUGUCUAAACCUCGAGGUGGAUAACUGACAAGCAAAGGUUCGGGUGUUAGCUUAAAUCAUUAAAUAUUUUAAGUUAAUUUUACGCCGUUAUUUUUAUGUUGUUGGUAUCGAUCCUUAUACUUGAUAAAAAUAAAGACGAGAUGAACAAAAUAUUUUCUCAUUAAUGGAGGGAAAAGAUUAUAAAGCAGGAGGGUCUUCUUUGCUAACCCCCUCUUGAGCUCCUAUUAUAUUUUCUACUAUAAUGACAUCUUCAAUUAAAGUCGAAUCGAAAGAAUGGUUGCUAUUUUGCCUCUCCUCUACUUGUUCCUCUUCUUCCUCCUCCUUUGGGAAAAUGUCAUCGAUCCAAGAGAAGUUUUUUGAAGGAUAACGCUUGAUUAGCUCCUUCUUGACAGAAUCUUGGCCUUCCAAAAAUAUUUUCCCACCCCGAGCCACUGUCUAUUGAAGCUCAGCUUCCAGUUCAGCCACCCUAUCUAUGAUGGCUUGGUUCUUUUGAGCAUGAGACUACUGCUCCUGGACUUGCCGUUGAAGGAUAGCCACUUGAUCCUUGGCGGUUUUAGUUCGAUUCUCAAGGGCGAGCUUUGAAGUGUUGGUUUCAUCUAGGUCUGCCUGGAGUUUAUCUACAGACUUGAGGGUCUCGUUCAUUGUGUUCUCUACCUCGGUGAUUCGAGCCUUCAGCCUUAAGUAUUCCUCUCGAAGGAGGUUUUUGUCUGUUUCCUGACUACUGAACUCUCUCCUCAAAGCUUUGUUCCGCUCCUUGGCUAAGUAUGUGCAUAGGAUGCUUUCCAUGGCAGAGUGAAUGAUGUUGUCAUAUAGUUCGUCUAUCUCAACAGCACCCAGACGAUGGCGGUCAUUGGGUCUCAAGGAAUUCUUGGCUAUAAGGAUUAACAACUGGGGUUUCUCAAGAAGCGAGUCCACCUAGGUCAGCGCCAUUGCCAAGUGUUGAAUGCCUUGUGGCCACAGGGCUCCAGUUCUAGCCUCCUCGUAUUGUGCACUGAAUUGAUGGGGCGAUACUAGAGGAACAUCCCUGGAGGAAGACUCGAGUUGGAUGAUAAAUGGCUCAAUUGUAGUUGAGGGUGGAGGAGGAGGAGGAGGCAAAAUGAUAAUCUCUUCUGCCCAUCAUGCCCGUUUUGGAGGAGGGCCCACAGUACUAGUAGUGGACUUUCUUUUUCGGGCAGCACGAGCUACCUUUGCAAACUUGCUCUUUCCUUUACCCGCCAUAUCUGCAUAAAACAGAGAGUGAGCAAGUAAAAUAAUGUAAAGGUAAAAAUGGUUAAAAAGUAAAAUACCUUACUCUGAGGAAGACAAUAAAAUCAUCCUUGGUUUCUGAUAACCGGUUGGCCGAGGCAACUGGGCUCGUUCUAUUUGGAAGUGGCUUUGCCAGGAUAAGGUGGCGUUCCUCACGGCCACGUUAAUGUCCAUUCUGUGGACCGAGGCCAUUUUCUAGAGGAAGUCUAGAGCCUUUUCCUCGUCUCUCUACAGUUGAACUCCACUAUUUGGAAGUGGCUUUGCCAGGAUAAGGUGGCGUUCCUCACGGCCACGUUAAUGUCCAUUCUGUGGACCGAGGCCAUUUUCUAGAGGAAGUCUAGAGCCUUUUCCUCGUCUCUCUAUAGUUGAACUCCACCCUUUUUGAGCUCCACAUAAAUGUUCCAAUCAGUCUGGAGUUGUCUAAAGCCCCCGAACACUCGGUGGUAGACAAUGAAAGACUUAUUUUUUCAAUGUUUCAAGGAAGAGAGGAUAUGGUCAAAGAGAGUCUGACUUUUUUUCGCUGAAGAACCAAAACUCCUUAUUCCUCCGGAUUCCUAGCUAGUAUAGCUGGGAGAAGAGAGCAACUCUCAGAUUGUUAUUAUUAUUGAAGCACACAAAUCGAAAGGCCACGGGAAUCCUCCAACUGUUUGAAUGAAGUUGGGCGACUACAGUUUAUGGAUUUUGAGGAUUUCAAUGAAAAAUGGGUCAAUCGAAAAAUGAAGACCCACCUUCAACUAUUCCUCGUAUACCAUGAUGGUAUCUUGAGCAGUGAUCUGGUCAUUUACGUGAACAUUUAGAUUAGGAGCGGAAAUCAUGAAGAUCUCUUUGGAGAUCUUGUAAUGGUCAUGAAGACUAUCUACGUCCAUCUCAGUUAGCACAAAUGGGAUGUCAUUCACCUGAAGGAUAUCAUUAUCAUGGGCUGACCUCAAUGGAACUACAGGAGCCAGAGCACGAAUGGGGCCGCUGGAGGAAGAGCUGGGGGUUGAACUACAAUGAGAAAAAGAACAAGAAGACAAAGAGGACCUGUUCAUUUCUAAAGUAUGAAAAAAGACAAAAGUAGGAGUUACUUUCAGAAAAUGCAAGAGCCUAAGGCCGAGAGUACUAAUCUUUUCAGAGCAGAAGUGGUGAUCGUAGGCGAAAGGGAGAUUUUAUAUUGUUGUUUCGACAGCUGAUCUAAAUGUGGCUUGAGAAGUAAGGCAAAGCAGUAUUGAUGACUAGUACAGGCGAAAAGAAGUGGAUAUGGAGAAUCAAUUUGUGCAUGUCACAUGUCCAACACCAUGAGAACAGCUAUAAUUUUUGAAUCUGAAGAGUCGAAGUCUGAUGGGAGGACUUCUGAUAUGACACAAUAUUCCCCCAAAAUAUGCCAUUAGCUGUCACCAUACGACAGAGUCACGUGGCAAGACCUUAAUAAACCAUGACAUUCGCACGGAAGUCUCACCCACGAGAGAGGAGAACUUGUCAUUGUAAAGGUCAAUGCUCAAAACGACUGAAGACUAGUCCUCUUAUUACUGGUCGAGCAUUUCUUGUCACCUAAGUUAUCGUUAAAAGAGAUUAUACAACAUAUCCCCAUUACGUCUACAAAUGUGAGGUUUUUUAUCCACUAGCCGAUACUAGUCGGAUUUCUAGAAAAAUCACCAACUAACUCCAUCUUUUUUAGUAUAAAAGAAGUAUACACAGAGUUCAAGAUACGCAUUCUUAUAUACUUUUCUUAAGUUCAAACAACUUAUUUACACUCGCUCUUUCUGAUAAUUACUGACUUAAACGUCAAAGUGGUUGCCCAUAUACAUCAACUACCUCACAUUUUUUCUUUUGCAGAGUAAUCAAUUCAGCUCCUUUUCUACCACAUCAAAAAAUAAAAUCAAUUUUAAAAAAAAUAAACACAGCAAAAUAAUUUUUAAUAUUUAAAAUUUGCAUAAAAUAGAUCACUAUUAAAAAAAUUAAAAAUGUAAUUAUUUAAAUUUGGUUAAUCUUAUCUUUGUCUCUAACUUUGAAUAUAUACUCAAAUUUAUAUUUACUUUUAAAACAUGUUUAAUAUCUAAAAUAUACUAGUUCAUUGAUUGAUGAAUAGUAACAAGCCAAACAACAAGAUUAAUUAAGGCUCAAAGAAAAUAAAGACAAUUUUCUAAAGGAAUUCUAGCAUCCAAGCCCAAAAACUUGACUUAGUAACAGAUCCAAAAAUAAUAUAUGGAGCGCUACUUAUGUUUUAAAACCACUGGCAGUCGAAGGAGAAGGAGACCAUUUAAAGAGAAAGAGAAUUUCAGAACAUAGUCAGGAAGAUAAACUUGUAAAAACACCGACUAGAGACCCAUAAAGAACCUCCAACCACCAAAAGCUUCAAAUACUAUAAGGAACAAGAAUAAGAACUAGAUCUAACCAUUACUGAGGUCACACCAUCAAAGAGAAACGAGGGUUCAACAUCAGAAUCGAGACAAGGCUGCAUCCAGAGUCAAGGAAGGCAACAUGCAAUCCAAAAAUAGCAAGAGAAGUAACCAAAACAGUGAACUAACUAAGCAAAUCUAACCUUAGUGGGAAAGGAGCCGACAAAAAGAAAUGAAGAGUCCUUUCUUAAGAUUAGAGCGACUACUUCACUUAGGAUAAUGGGGAGCGAUAUGUAAUCCAAAUAAAAAAGUAGGGCUACCGCCUUGCUCCACCCCUGAAAGAAAAAAAUUAUAAGAGCACCAUAAUUGAGCAACUCCAACAUGAAAAAGGCAACAAAAAAAAAAAACAAAAAAGAAAAACAAAAACAAAAAUUGACAACCCAACAGAAACUCUCAACUAAGUCUCAUUGCCAACAACAUCAAAACAAGAAAGUAUUUACACUCCACUCAAUAAUGGGAGAAAAAACCCAAAUCGGGAAGAGGGAGGCUCCUAGACCGGAAGGGUAAAAAAGCUUUUAAAAGGCAUAAGCACUAAUAAACCCGAAAAAAGGACUAAAUUAAAGAGAGAAAAAAAAAACUCUCUGGCUAAUGGAGAAAUGAAGCUUUUUGAAAACAUGUUAAACUUUAAUUUAAGUGUUAUUAAAAUCUAUAUUACCUACUAUAUUGACAUAAAUUUUCUUUUAUUAUUUAUAUUUUAAUUAUUUAAAAAAUAAUUUUCAUUUUUUAAGUAAUAUUAAAUUUUUGUAAUUACUUUUUGUAAUCAUUUUGGCUCUACAUUUCAAAAAAAAAAUUAAAAAAAUAUAUAUUUUUUAUUUUUUUAGUGUUUAGAAAUCUCAAAAAAUUUAAUUAAUGAAAAUUUUUUUUAAUUAAAUAAAAAAAUAAUUUAUUCUUUUAAAAAAAAUCAUUUUUUACAUGUUGAGACUCUUAUAAAGCUUUAUAUAUAAAUUUAUUAAUAAAUUUUAUUUUUUAAAUUAAAAUUAAAUAAUAAAAAAUAAGUUAUUUCAUUAAAAAAAUAUUUUUUUAAAUAUAAAUUAUUUUCAUAAAUAAAAUAACUAAACGUAUGAUUUUAUAAAAUUUAAAAAUAUUUUAAUUAAGUUAUUUUGAAUUAUAAAUGAGAUAAUGAAUUUUUAAAAUAUAAGGUUAUGAUAGUAAUUUUUAUUUAUAUUAUUAAAAAAUUGGCUAAAACCUACCGUGCACGUGUAAUCACAUGGACCCUACCCAUCUAAAGCAUACGGAUAUAAUUUAUCUAUUCUUUUUUUGUUUUAUUUUGUUCCUUUCAAUGAAGCAAUUUGCCGACAUCAUCAUCGAGCGAAGGUUAUUUUCUAUAGUUACUUAGUUUUAUAUAAAUAAAUUUAUUUAAUUUAGAAUAAAUUUACUUAAAUAAAAAAUAAAUGUGAUUUAAUAUAAUCUAGAAUUGAUCUCUUGAUUUUGUAAUAUGAUAAUUUAUAAAUUAAAUAAAUUACAAAAAUAUUUUCAAUUUAAAAGAGAAAAGUAAAGUUUUAUUUUGGAAAAAAUUGUGAUAUUUUUUUAAAAAAAAAUCAAAUUGAUAAGCACGGCCAUGGCCGGACAAAGGUCGAGUGUUUGGAUAUUUGAUGCAAUUAGGGGUUUUCAUAGAAACGUGGCUUCUUUUGGUUUAGCUUUCAUGGCCCAAUCAGGCACAGCCACUCGUCAUUCAAAUGUUUAAUGCAAAGUGUAGUGCCCUGCCCUCCACACUACACUUUAUAUUUUUUAUUUAAUUAAUUAUUUAUGCAAACAAAUUUAGACUUAUCGAGCGCAUAAAUCGGUUUGAAUUGAAAAACUGAAUCGAGCCGAUUAAUUUUGGUUUAAUGGUUCGGUUAAUUAAAAGGUUCGGUUCAGUUCGGUUAGUAUUUUUCAAUUUAUUCGAUUUUCAGUUCGAUUCGAUUUAAACGUGUUAAAUAAUUGAAAAACUGAAAAACCGAUUUUAUAUAUAGAAAUACUAAUUUUAUAUAUUUUUAAAUUUUAUAUGAAUUUUUAUGGAUUUUUUAAAUAUUAUUAUUAUGUAUUCAAACAAUAUGUAUUGAUAAAUUUAUGUGAAAUAUUUAUUAAAUUAUUCUACUGAAAUUAAAAGUAAAAAAUUAAAAAAAUUACAGAUUUUUAUUUAAAUCAAAUCGAUUUUUAUCAGUUCGAUUCGGUUUGAUUAUAUUUUUAUAAUCAAUUUUUUUAAUUUUUAAUAUUUUUAUACUUCAGUGUUCGGUUUUUUCGAUUUGAUUUAAUUCGAAAUCAAACCGACCGAUUGCAGAGCCCUACUCAUCACGUAAAAUCUAAAUUCAAAACUAAAUUUUUUUUUUUUAAUUUAAAUUUAUCUCAAAUAUAAGAUAUCCAAAUCCACCACAGAAGUGGAAAGUCAUAUCAUGGUUAUCGCAUUAUCUAAUACAGUUCCUAUCACUGUCUGACCUUAUGCAGUUUUGAUAAUUUUUUAAAUAAUAAUUUCUUAAUUUCUUAUAUUUUAUGUAAUCCGAUUCUACAUAAAUUUUUUUAUUUUUUAUUAUAUUAAAAUAUCUUUUUAAUAUAUAUAUAAAUAAAGUAAAUAAAAAUUAUGAGAUUUAUAAAGUAAUAAAUUUAUUAUUUAUAAUUUUAAGUGUUUAUUUUAUUUUCUAACCAAAGUUAGACAUUGUUUAAAAAUAAUUUUUAUCAAAGUGAGAUAUUUAUUUUAAAAUUUUAUAAAAUAAUAAUACCCUUUGCUAUGACAGCUGAGGAAAAGGUGAGUAUCUGGGGAGUGGAUAUACCGUUUGCCGACACCUUCAAUUCCACUGCUAUUAUGUGGACGCCACUCCACCGUCCAUAUUGAAUCGGACCCACCAGCUCAAUCAAUCCACUUCCUGUCAGUUCAAUUAAAUUAGGUUGUGUUGGGUUAUGUUUUUUUUUAAAAAAAAAAAAUUAGAUAAAAAAUUUAAAUAUUUAUUAAUUUUUAUAUUUAUAUCUUAAUUUUAAAAUUUUAAAUAAUAAAAAUAAUACUUUCAUAUUUAUCUUAAUUUUAACUAUAUACUUUAAUCAAUUUUAAUUAAAAAAUUUUUAAUUCACAUUUUUAAUUCACUCUAAAAUUAUUUUUUAAAAUAUCUAUUAAAUAAAAAAAACAAAACAUUUACAUUAAUUCAUAUUUAUAUUUAAAUUAUUAUCUAAAAUUUUUUUUAUCACCUCUUAAUUAUAAUAAAGAGAAAUAAAUUAAAUAUAAAAAUUAUUAAAAAAUUACAAUAUAAUUUUUAAAAUUUUAUUUAAAUAAUAAAAUAAUCUUUAAAAUACAUAUUUUUACUUUAACAAUAUUCUUUUUUUAUUAAUCUCAUUAUUUAUUUUUCAUUAUCAUUUAUAUAUAUAUAUAUAUAAAUAUAAAUGAUAAUGAAAAAUAAAANNNNNNNNNNNNNNNNNNNNNNNNNNNNNNNNNNNNNNNNNNNNNNNNNNNNNNNNNNNNNNNNNNNNNNNNNNNNNNNNNNNNNNNNNNNNNNNNNNNNNNNNNNNNNNNNNNNNNNNNNNNNNNNNNNNNNNNNNNNNNNNNNNNNNNNNNNNNNNNNNNNNNNNNNNNNNNNNNNNNNNNNNNNNNNNNAUAUGUAAUAUUUAUAUACUAUACUUCAUAUGGUGAAAAUUUAUUUAUAAUAAAUAUUUAUUUAAUAUUAUAUAUAAUAAAUACAAAGUAAAUUUACUUUUAAUAUAAAAUUUAAAUUAAAAAAUUAUAUGUUUAUUAAUAUAACAAGAGAUUAUAUUAUAAUUUAUUAUUAAUUUUUUUUAAAUUUAAUUUAAUCUUUAAAUUAUAAUUAUGAUCGAUCGACAAAGAUUUAAUUUUAUUAUAUAAAUAUUUAAAAUUUUAGAUAUAAAUAUAAAUUAAUGGUUUGAAUUUUUUUAUUCAAUAAAUCUUUUAAAAAAUAAUUUUAUAUACUAUAAUUUUUUUAUUAAAAUUAGUUGAGACAAACGCCUAAAAUUAAGAAAUAUAAAAAAAUUAAUUUUAUUAUCUAAAAUUUUAUUGCUGGAAAAAAUUUGUUUUCUAAUAAUUAUUAAAUUUAUAUAGUAUUAAAUAAUUUAUUAUUUAAAAUUUUAAUUUUAAAAAUAUUUAAAAUAUUAUUACAAUUUUUAAAAAUUUAUUAAUUAAUCUUUUUUUAUUUUAACUAUUUGAAAAAAAAUUUUAAAAUACUCUUAAUUAGAAAGAUUAAUAAAUUUAUAUUUUUAUAAAUUCAAAAAAUUAAUUAAUUAAUUAUUUUAUGUUAUAAAUAUUAAAUAAUAAAAUAUUUAAAAUUAAUGAAUAAUUGAUUAAUGGAUUUUUUAAUACUUCAUUGGCGUUUUUAAUGUGCUUUCAAAAUUAAAUAAUUAACUAAUAAAUUUUUUUAUAUUACAAAAAUUAAAUAAUAAAUUAUUUUUUAUUUUUUAUCUUUUAUUUAAUAAAAUAAAAAUGUAUAGUUUGUUAAUAUUCUUACUUAUUAGAAAAUGAUUUUUAAGUAAAAGAACUCAAAACUGAAAAUUGUAAAUAUUUAUUAAAAUAUUUUUUAAAAUAUUAAAAAUAUAUCAACCAAUUAUUUUAUUAAUUUUAAUUGUUGAAUAUUUUGCUAUUGAGUACAUAUUAUAAAGAAAAACUCAAUAAUUAUUUUUUAAUUUUUUAAAAAUAUUUACUAAUUAAACUUUUGUAUAAUAUUAUUUUAAAAUUUUUUUAUAAUAUUUAAGCGUUAAAAUAUUUUAAUAUAUUUUUUAAAAUCAAUAUAUUAAUUAAUGAAUUUGCAUUUAAUUUAAAUAAAUAAUAAAAAUAAAAAUUGCUUUUAAUUUAAAAAAAAUAAAAAUCCUAUAGUGUUAUAAAAAUAUCAUUAGUUAAUUAAUUUUUUUAUCAAUAAAUAUUUAGAGAGGGAGAUGAAAAUCAAAUUCUCAUUACCAGUAAGUUUUCAGAUAUACUUUAUUAACCUAUUUAAUAAUAUAACAAAUAUUUAUUAUCAAUAAAAUAUUUUCAUUUGAUUUGUUCUACUUAAUGUCCUAAACAAUAAAAAAUAUGCAAAAUAUUUUUUUUAAAAAUGUUUACAUAAAUAAUAAUUUAUUUUCUAUAAUGCAAUUUAAAGAAUAAAAAAUAUUAUAAAGUUAUAUAGUAAUUUAUAAAAAAAAUUGUCAAAAAACAGAAACUGAAUUAUUUUUUAAGAAACAAUAUUAUUUUUUCAAAAAAAUUAAUAUCUCAUUUGUUAAUAAUAUAUUUUUUAUUAAUUAUUUUUUUUAGUGUAUCAAAUAUUAAAAAUAUAAAAAUAAAUUUAUAAAUAAAAUCAAUGGAUACUAAAAUCCACUUUUAUUUAUUUUUUAAAAGAAAUAAUUAAUUAUCUUCCCACAUUUUCGGUUAGAAACUGAAAACUUCUUCAGAAGUGGAUAAUGAUCCGUCAACUCCACAAGUCCUAAGACCUGGGCCAAAUCGCCCAUGUCGUUUUGUCCUUUUAUUUGAUCUUUCUUUUUUCUUUCUUUUUUCAGCCAAAAAAAAAAUAUUUCGAGAAUAAAUUGUUAAGAUUUUUUUCCCGAAGAAAUUGAAAAAUAAAAAAUAAAGGUAAGAGAUUUUUUUUUUUUCCCUUUUAAAAUUUGAUAGAAAAUUCAACCAUAAGUAGAAAAUUGAAAUAGAUAUGCUUUGGGAAGAACCAGGCUUCCAUCGCUUAUAAAUAGCCUCCACACCUGCAAUGUCUCUCUCUCACAACACACCAUACCACAACCCAAAUCCUUCUAUUUGUCUCUUUUCUUGUGCUUAUUGCUUGAAUCACCACCAUGGCCGAAGAAAAGCACCGCCACCACCUCUUUCAUCGCAAUAAGGACGAGGAGAAACCCACUGGGGCCGCUGAUGUCUACUCUCAGACUUCUGAGUUCUCUGAGAUUACGGAUUAUCCUAGCAGCUAUAAGACUUCUGAGUUCUCUGAGACUACGGAUUAUCCUAGCAGCUAUAACUCACCACCUGAUGCUCCAGACUACGAAAAAGAAGAGAAGCAACACAAGCGUCGCGAGCAUUUGGGCGAACUCGG
rnacentral:lncRNA from 1 species